UUAAUAACAGCUGCCCUAGUGACAUGCCUUGAACACUGUUUCCAAACCGCAACUAGCUGUAUUGAUGGCAUUAUUAAUGUUUCUGAACAGAUCACACACCGGAGACCAUGACCUAUGGCUCAGCUGCCAGUGGGAAACAGAAUGACCAGAAGGCCAACACUGUAUCACUAGCCCCGUUUGGACUCGCAGCAAACAAGAUACAGGGCUCUCUGUGGACCAACCCCCGGACAGGAGAUCAUAAGAGGAUCGUCUCCCUCUUCGGCGCAGCAGACUCCUGGCUUAAGCAGCUUGGAGUCCGGCACCAUGACUUCAACUACUUCGUCACUCACCCCAUGUGAACUACUAAUUUGCCCCCGCAGACUUGAAAUCGUCGAAACUGCUUACACCACCGACAAGGGGCACAAACCAUCUACCGUGUAUCGCCCUCGUAAAAGUUGAGUCUAACAUUCGUGGGAUAGGUUUAUACGGCUUGAUUGCAGCACAUAACAAAUGUAUCAGGACUUGAAAGGUUUUGUGUUUCUUGGCUGAAGAUGUAACUAAUGUGCACAGAAGUUUUGGUACUAGUCUGAUAUAUCCAGCUCUUGUGGUUGGGUGCAUAUUGUAGCUACCUGCCUCGCCAUGUGUACUCAACUAGCCUAUAUAUGGAGGUUGUGUGCCCAGGAUGAACUGCUUUUGCAGAGUCCUGUUUUCUGGGAAACUGCAGAGACAUCAGAGUCCAGUUGGACCUGAAUCAGUUCAUUUUAUUUAUUUUAUUUUUGCUUUUUUCGAAAAGGAGGUUGAAACCCCCGGCCUACCUGAAUCAGUUGAUGACAACUUCAUUCUCCUUUAAAGCAAUUGUAUCAAAAAGUGAGGUAGUUGCACAACUUGCGCCAAAAGAAACCAUAAAUUCAAUUGCAAUCGAGCGCCCGCAGGCACAAAGUGGAGACACAAAUUCAUUAGUGGCAUCUAUUUAGUUUCUUUCCCUCGAUAUCAUUUUCCUACAAAACUAGUAAGUAAAGGCAUGCUAUUAUCCAGCACAAAAUGUUGACAUAUUGUAUUCUUAUGGCAACACACAGAGCAACGGAGCUAGUAUGUUGUGACAGUUACAUUUCCUUGACAUGUAACCCAAUCUAUAUCUGUACCUACCAAUAAAGCAAGGUGCGUUUCUCCAAUUUUUAAAUCCAUCCAUCCAUAUUAUUUUUCUUAAUUUAUUAUUUUUUUACUAUCCAAGUUGGUACUAUCUGUUUGUGCGACGUUGCAUUAGAUUUUCAUGUACGUGGCUUGACAGGGCCUCCGCAUGGCUUACUUCCCUCGCUCAGUUGGGGUUCUGGCUGGACCUGCAUCCAUGCUCAAAACUGUGUAUGUCACAUACGUAGUAAAAGGCCGUGGCUAAUUGAGCUAUAGCAAUACAUAGAAAUAGGUCCACCUUGCUCAAUUGAACCGCCUCUCAGCUAUUCAUAUGCGUCCCAGGUUAUGUGAGUAUCAACCAACCAGAUUGGAGCAAAGUUGGGACCAGAUGAGAUUGGUUGGCUCGGGGCCGGAGGAGGAUGACGCGUGAGCAAGUAGGCCGGUGGGAUGGGCUUCCUCUCAUCAGCAGGAGAGGAAGGCAGCGGAGGGCAGAGGGGCUCAAGGUUGGUGGGCCUACAUGGGGCGUAGCCGACGCUCGGGACGGUCGGCUCGAUUGCGGGGAGGUUGCUAGCGGGGUGAAGAGCUCCUCGGCCAGAGGCGGCAGGGCCGUGAGGUUGAGGACACCGCAGGCGAAGUCGGCGCUCGGGAUGGCUGGCUCGGUAGGGGAGGUUGUUGGCGGGGCGAAGAGCUCGCCGACCAGAGCGGCGGCAGGGCCGUGAGGCUGGGGAGGCGCGAAGAGCGCGGUCUCCUGUGCUGCUUGCUAUGUCAUUUAGAGGAUGCUAGCUGGGCGCCGGUUUGGGAGGCUUAGGGGGAGAGAGAGAGAGAGAGAGAGAGAGAUUUGGUGCGCCAGCCCAGUCGGUUGCUGAACAAUUUCCAUUUUAAAAACAAAAUAUUCUAAAAAAAAUUUAAAAACAGAAAAUUGCCUCAAUUAUUUUUAAAAAAUCAAAAAAACGGGAAAAGGUGAUUCCACAUAAAAUUGGUUCCACAAAUCUUUCAAAGAUUCGAGAUAUUUGAAUUUGAUUCGAAUAGGUUUGAACUAGAAGUAGGUGAUAGGAAUGUCCAAAUUUUGGUAAAAUGUUUGGUGGAGCUUGGUUAUGUGACAGAAGAAUUAUGUUUGGGGCCAAGAUUUGAGGUAGAAAAGGCAUAUGAUUUUUUGAGAGCUAUGCAUUGGCUUUAUGAAAGUGGACAAGAAUAGAAGUUUUUUUUAUGUCAAAGAAACAAUUGGCAACAUGAAAGUAAUUCAAAAAAAUAGGUCCUUUGUUGUAAGUAAUAGGUUUGGGUUGUUACAACAUCGAAGGGGAGGAGGGCACGGGGCGGCAUUGGCAUCUCGUGAGGAAUAGACGAACAACAUCCCAUGGUUGCCCGACAGCGGCUGUGAUAUAUUCUCUUCUCCCAUUGCAACACACGGGCAUUUUUGCUAGUUCUAUUGAAGCAAAAUAGCGGCAUCAAGAAAAAAACACCAGUUCUGAGAUAUUUUUGAAAAGAAUAAAUGGUGCACUAAAAUUUUGUAGCAAUAAAUAAGGUCGCUACUACGCGUCGGCCGGCGAAUAUUUUUAAAAGAUUCGCCGCCUUGCGAGACGUCAGAUUAGGUGGAGUGAGAAGCCGAGCGUCACCCUCUACAGUUGCAACAAGGGUCGUGUUGCAGUAAUUUUCUGCAACACGGGUCAUGUUGGAGAAAGUUUUGUAAAACAUAGUCAAGUUGCAGAAUAUUUUUGCAACAAGUUGCAGAUUAUUUUUGCAAUAGAGGCCUUGUAACAAGUUUUUAUUGCAACAAAGGUCAUGUUGCAAAUUUUGUUGCAAUAGAGGUCUUGUUACAGUUUUUUUUGCAACAGAGGCCUUGCCACAAUUUAAUUAUUUUUGUAAGGUCCUGUUACAGUUUUUUUUUGCAACAAAGACCUUGUUGCAGAAAAGAGAGAUCGUGGGAGCUAGGUCCACCGCAUCACAUGAGACGCGUGGCGUGCAACCAAGGCGGCAGACGCGAGCGUGAUAAUUCGCCGGCUGAACCAUAUCUUGUCCCAAUAAAUAAAUAUACAGCGUAUAUUUUUUCACCAGUAAAUAUUAGUCUAAAAUUGGUAAGGUGCAAUCUGAUCUUGAUGAGAUUGGAGAAAGAGAACAUUUUUUUGGAGAAGGAUCACAUCUAUUAUUUGAAGGAAAUAUGCCCUAGAGGCAAUAAUAAAGUUGUUAUUUUAUAUUUCCUUAUAUCAUGAUAAAUGUUAGUAUUCAUGCUAGAAUUGUAUUAACCGAAAAUUUGAUACAUGUGUGGAUACAUAGACAAAACACCGUGUCCCUAGUAAGCCUCUACUAGACUAGCUCGUUAAUCAAAGAUGGUUAAGUUUCCUAACCAUAGACAUGUGUUGUCAUUUGAUGAAUGGGAUCACAUCAUUAGGAGAAUGAUGUGAUGGACAAGACCCAUCCGUUAGCUUAGCAUAAUGAUCGUUCAGUUUUAUUGCUAUAGCUUUCUUCAUGUCAUAUACAUAUUCCUUUGACUAUGAGAUUAUGCAACUCCCGGAUACCGGAGGAAUGCCUUGUGUGCUAUCAAAUGUCACAACGUAACUGGGUGAUUAUAAAGAUGUGCUAAAUGUAUCUCUGAAGGUGUUUGUUGGGUUGGCAUAGAUCGAGAUUAGGAUUUGUCACUCCGAGUAUCGGAGAGGUAUCUCUGGGCCCUCUCGGUAAUGCACAUCAUAAUAAGCCUUGCAAACAAUGUGACUAAUGAGUUAGUUGCAGGAUGAUGCAUUAUGGAACGAGUAAAGAGACUGGCCGGUAACGAGAUUGAACUAGGUAUGAAGAUACCAACGAUCGAAUCUCGGGCAAGUAACAUACCGAUGACAAAGGGAAUAACGUAUGUUGUCAUUAUGGUACGACCGAUAAAGAUCUUCGUAGAAUAUGUGGGAGCCAAUAUGAGCAUCCAGGUUCCGCUAUUGGUUAUUGACCGGAGAGGUGUCUCGGUCAUGUCUACAUAGUUCUCGAACCCGUAGGGUCUGCACGCUUAACGUUCGAUGACGAUUUGUAUUAUGAGUUAUGUGUUUUGGUGACCGAAGUUUGUUCGGAGCCCCGGAUGAGAUCACAGACAUGAGGAGGAGUCUCAAAAUGGUCGAGAGGUAAAGAUUGAUACAUUGGACGAUGAUAUUUAGACACCGGAAUGGUUUCAGAAUGGUUCGAGUAUAUUUCAGAGUAUCGAGGGGUUACCGGAACCCUCAGGGAAUUGUUGGGCCUACAAGGGCCAUAGGGGAGAGGGGAGGCAACCCACAAGGGGUGGCCGCGCCCCCUCCCAUGGGGAGUCCUAAUUGGACUAGGGGAGGGGGCGCGCCCCCCUUUCCUUCUCCUCUUCCCUCUCCUUCCCCCUUUUCCCUCUCCGUAAGAAGGAAAAGAGGGGGGGCCGAAUCCUCUAGGAGUGGAGUCCUAGUAGGACUCCCACCCUUGGUGCGCCCCCUCCAGGCCGGCUGCCUCCUCCCCUCCUCCUUUAUGUAUGGGGGCAGGAGGGCACCCCAUAGCACAACAGUUAUUCUCUUAGCCGUGUGCGGUGCCCCCUCCACAGUUUACUCCUCCGGUCAUAACGUCGUAGUGCUUAGGCGAAGCCCUGCGCGGAUCACAUCACCAUCAUCAUCACCACGCCGUCGUGCUGACGAAACUCUCCCUCGACCCUCUGCUGGAUCAAGAGUUUGAGGGACGUUAUCGAGCUGAACGUGUGCUGAACUCGGAGGUGCUGUACGUUCGGUACUAGAUCGGUUGGUUCGUGAAGAUGUCCGACUACAUCAACCGCGUUAACCUAACACUUCCGCUUUCAGUCUACGAGGGUACGUGGACACACUCUCCCCCUCUCAUUGCUAUGUGUCUCCUAGAUAGAUCUUGCGUGAUUGUAGGAAUUUUUUGAAAUUGCAUGCUAUGUUCCCCAACAGUGGCAUCCGAGCCAGGUCUAUGCGUACAUGAUAUGCACGAGUAGAACACAAAGAGUUGUGGGCGAUAAUAGUCAUACUGCUUACCACCAACGUCUUACUUUGAUUCGGCGGUAUUGUUGGAUGAAGUGGCCCGGACCAACCUUACAUGACCACGUUCAUGAGACCGGUUCCACCGACAGACAUGCAACUUGUUUUGCAUAAAGGUGGCUGGCGGGUGUCUGUUUCUCCAACUUUAGUUGAAUCGAGUUUGACCACGACCGGUCCUUGUUGAAGGUUAAAACAACACACUUGACGAAAAAUCGUUGUGGUUUUCAUGCGUAGAUAAGAACGGUUCUUGCUAGAAGCCCAUAACAGCCACGUAAAACUUGCAACAACAAAGUAGAGGACGUCUAACUUGUUUUUGCAGGGCAUGUUGUGAUGUGAUAUGGUCAAGACAUGAUGUGAUAUACGUUAUUGUAUGAGAUGAUCAAGUUUUGUAAAAGUUAUCGGCAAAUGGCAGGAGCCUUAUGGUUGCCGCUUUAUUGUAUGAAAUGCAAUCGCCAUGUAAUUGCUUUACUUUAUCACUAUGCAGUAGCGAUAGUUGUAGAAGCAAUAGUUGGCGAGACGACAACGACGCUACGAUGGAGAUCAAGGUGUCAAGCCGAUGACGAUGGAGAUCAUGACGGUGCUUUGAAGAUGGAGAUCAAAGGCACAAGAUGAUGAUGGCCAUAUUAUGUCACAUAUUUUGAUUGCAUGUGAUGUUUAUCUUUUAUGCAUCUUAUUUUGCUUAGUACGGCAGUAGCAUUAUAAGAUGAUCCCUUACUAAAAUUUCAAGGUAUAAGUCUUCUCCCUGAGUAUGCACCGUUGCGAAAGUUCGUCGUGCUGAGACACCACGUGAUGAUCGGGUGUGAUAGGCUCUACGUUCACAUACAACGGGUGCAAGACAGUUUUGCACAUGCGGAAUACUCGGGUUAAACUUGACGAGCCUAGAAUGUAUAGACAUGGCCUCGGAACACUAGAGACCGAAAGGUCGAACGUGAAUCAUAUAGUAGAUAUAAUCAACAUAGAGAUGUUCACCAUUGAAGACUACUCCAUCUCACGUGAUGAUCGGACAUGGUUUAGUUGAUUUGGAUCACGUGAUCAUUCAGAUGACUCGAGGGAUGUCUAUCUAAGUGGGAGUUCUUAAGUAAUAUGAUUAAUUGAACUUAAUUUAUCAUGAACUUAGUCCUGAUAGUAUUUGCAUAUCUAUGUUGUAGAUCAAUAGCUCGCGUAUAGCUCCCCUGUUUUAUUUUUGAUAUGUUCCUAGAGAAAACUAAGUUGCAAGAUGAUAGUAGCAAUGAUGUGGGCUGGGUCCGUGAUCUGAGGAUUAUCCUCGUUGCUGCACAGAAGAAUUAUGUCCUUAAUGCACCGCUAGGUGAGAGACCUAUUGCAGGAGCAGAUGCAGACAUUAUGAACGUUUGACAAGCUCGGUAUGAUGACUACUUGAUAGUUUAGUGCACCAUGCUUUAUGGCUUAGAACAGGGACUUCAAAACGUUUUGAACGCCACGGAGCAUAUAAGAUGUUCCAAGAGUUGAAAUUGGUAUUUCAGACUCAUGCCCGUGUCGAGAGGUAUGAGACCUCUGACAAAUACUUUUCCUACAAGAUGGAGGAGAAUAGCUCAGCUAGUGAGCAUGUGCUCAGAAUGUCUGGGUACUACAAUCACUUGAAUCAAGUGGGAGUUAAUCUUCCAGAUAAGAUAGUGAUUAACAGAGUUCUCUAGUCACUAUCACCAAGUUACUAGGACUUCGUGAUGAACUAUAAUAUGCAAGGGAUGACGAAAAUGAUUCCCAAGCUCUUUGCGAUGCUGAAAUCGGCGAAGGUAGAAAUCAAGAAAGAGCAUCAAGUGUUGAUGGUUGACAAGACCACUAGUUUCAAGUAAAAGGGUAAGGGAAAGAAAGGGAACUUUGAGAAGAAUGGCAAGCAAGUUGCCACUCCCAUGAAGAAGCCCAAAACUAGACCCAAGCCUGAAACUGAGUGCUUCUACUACAAAGGACAUGGUCACUGGAAGCGGAACUACCCCAAAUACUUGACGGAUAAGAAAGAUGGCAAAGUGAACAAAGGUAUAUAUGAUAGACAUGUUAUUGAUGUGUAAAUUUACUAGUGUUAAUAGCAACCCCUGGGUAUUUGAUACAGGUUCAGUUGCUGAGUUUAGUAACUCAACACGGGAGUUGCAGAAUGAACAGAGACUAGUUAAGAGCGAAGUGACGAUGUGUGUUGGAAGUGAUUCCAAGAUUGAUACGAUCACCAUCGCACACUCCCUCUACCUUCGGGAUUAGUGUUGAACCUAAAAUAAAUGUUAUUUGGUGUUUGCCUUGAGCAUGAAUAUGGUUGGAUCAUGUUUAUUGCAAACCGGUUAUUCAUUUAAGUCAGAGAAUAAUUGUUGUUCUGUUUACAUGAAUAAAACCUUCUGUGGUCAUACACCCAAGGUGAAUGGUAUCUUGAAUCUCGAUCGUAGUGAUACACAUCCUAUAUACCUAAGAGAUUGAUCCCCACUACAUGUAAUUAUCUAAGCAUGCAAGCUAUCCACCUCAGCAAGCUUCCAACUCAGCAAAAUGAGAGUUAUUCGUGGGCCAUGUCAUCCUUUUUUCUGGUGCCACACUCAUGGUGGAGUUUCCCUCAACGCGUGGACUAUAUGAAUUCUGGCCAAUUAACUCCGCACCUAUCGAUUUCUAUCACUAGAUCCUACCGAUUCAACUUCUCCAAUGCAUAAUGUAGCCUUUUUUCCUUUUCAACAAACUGCGUGCUUUCUCUUCCAUACACAUUGAUUCCUGACCUUGUUCGUCUUCUAUAACUCAAGUCGUUCAUCAAUCAUAAAUAGACAACAAGGCGCUGGGGACAGACGAACGGUGGAGUCCCAUCUCUUUUGAGUACGUGCUCAAGCAUCCUCCUUGUUACAACCAAGCAACGUCAUGGUUUAUCUGGUGAGCCGCUGACCCUCGCACACUUUACAUUUGUGUUUGGCACUCCAUGUUUUCUUCCUGCCAAGGUCUGUCCAGCGUAGGCACGCCCACUCUUGUGUCAAAUAGAGGAAGAACCAGUCACAACGCAGCGGAGAGGAAAAACAAGGGUAUGUCUUUGUUCUCCCGGAGUAUGUGCCACCCGCUGGACAGUUGGUUGCAGCCUCCGCUCCGCCGCAGAAACGUACGAGGAGGACGCCACGGUGCGACACAAACUGUAUGACGCGGUCGUCAAAGAGGCCGGCGGCGCCCGAGACGAAGGAGUCGAGCAAGGGACGGCCAGGGCGGAGGACCUACUGUGGCGCAUGGACGAAGCCGAGAACGGCUGACCUUCCCCGCCGUGGCGCCGAUCCUCGACGUGGAAGCUUGCGAGGGAGGGGCAGUGACAGGCGCCCUCUAACUAUCGGCGGUGAUGGAAGGACUGCUCAGUGAGAUGGUGACAAAGGCGCAACAGUGCUUUUGCGCGGGGCUGACCGCAAGAGGUCGGGGACGCCCGGCACGCGCGCCAGGAUCGGCAACCUCACGAGCUAGAGCUGCGCGCGCGUGCAUGCUAUUGUUUUUACAUGUGUGCACGUCGUUCGUUGGUACUAGCAUGCGCGCAUGCAUGCAGGCAAGUAUGAUUAGUUCCUUGCUAAUUAACCUACCUACCUUAGCCAAUGGUUCCUAGAUAAGUGAUACAUGCAUAACUAAUCAGAUUAGCUACAAACCUAAUUGCUCUACGAAUAGUACGUGAAAUUCAUGCCUCCUCUAAUCAGGGAUGUUUGUAUUUCUUUUUAUCCUCAAUUUGUUUAUUGUGUAUUUCCAAAUUUUCCAUUUGCUUAUACUGAACUUUCUCUCUUACUUAAAAAAACAAAUAUUUUCUACUAUUUCUUUUUAAGCUAUUACUAUCAUUGAAUAUAUAAUUUUAGAAACACUACCAUUGAAUAUUUGAACAACAUAAUUUCGUUCAAUUUAACUUUUUAAUUCCCGCAACAACGUGCGGGGUAUCAUCUAGUAUUCAUAAUAUUGUUGCCAAAAAUGCAAAGUUGAUAAUGAUAGUGCAAUAUAUUUGUGGCACUGCCGUUUAAGUCAUAUUAGUGUAAAGCGCAUGAAAAAACUCCAUGCAGAUGGACUUUUGAAAUCACUUGAUUAUGAAUCAUUUGAUACUUGCGGACCAUGCCUCAUGGGCAAGAUGACUAAAACUCCGUUCUCCGGAACAAUGGAGCGAGCCAAUAACUUAUUGGAAAUAAUACAUACCGAUGUAUGCGGUCCGAUGAGUGUUGAGGCUUGUGACGUGUAUCUUUAUUUCCUGACCUUCACAGAUGAUUUGAGCAGAUAUGGGUAUAUCUACUUAAUGAAACACAAGUCUGAAACAUUUGAAAAGUUCAAAGAAUUUCAGAGUGAAGUAGAGAAUCAUCGUAACAAAGAAAUAAAGUUUCUACAAUCUGAUUGCAGAGGCAAAUAUUUGAGUUACGAGUUUGGCCUUCAUUUAAAACAAUGUGGAAUAGUUUCAUAACUCACGCCACCUGAAACACCACAGCGUAAUGGUGUGUCCGAAUGUCGUAACCGUACUUUAUUAGAUAUGGUGCGAUCUAUGAUGUCUCUUACCGAUUUACCACUAUCGUUUUGGGGUUAUGCAUUAGAGACAGCUACAUUCACUCUAAAUAGGGCACCGUCUAAAUCCGUUGAGACGACACCGUAUGAACUAUGGUUUGGCAAGAAACCUAAGCUGUCGUUUCUUAAAGUUUGGGGUUGCCUUAUGUGAAAAAGCUUCAGCCUGAUAAGCUCAAACCCAAAUCGGAGAAGUGCAUCUUCAUAGGAUACCCAAAAGAAACUGUUGGGUACACCUUCUAUCACAGAUUCAAAGGCAAGAUCUUUGUUGCUAAGAAUGGAUCCUUUCUAGAAAAGGAGUUUCUCUCGAAAGAAGUGAGUGGGAGGAAAGUAGAACUUGAUGAGGUAAUUGGACCUUCUCUCGAAUUGGAAAGUAGCUCAUCACAGAAAAUUGUUCCCGUGAUGCCUGCACCAACUAGUGAGGAAGCUAAUGAUAAUGAUCAUGAAACUUCGGAUCAAGUUACUACCGAACCUCGUAGGUCAACCAGAGCACGUUCUGCACCAGAGUGGUACGGUAAUCCUGUUCUGGAAGUCAUGUUACUAGACCAUAACGAACCUACGAACUAUGAGAAAGCGAUGAUGAGCCCAGAUUCCGACAAAUGGCUUGAGGCUAUGAAAUCUGAGAUAGGACCAAUGUAUGAGAAUAAAGUAUGGACUUUGGUUGACUUGCCUGAUGAUCGGCAAGCCAUAGAGAAUAAAUGUAUCUUCAAGAAGAAGACUGACGCUGAUGGUAAUGUUACUCUCUACAAAGCUCGACUUGUUGCGAAAGGUUUUCGACUAGUUCAAGGAGUUGACUAUGAUGAGACUUUCUCACGCGUAGCGAUGCUUAAGUCUGCCCGAAUCAUGUUAGCAAUUGCUGCAUUUUAUGAAAAACUAGCAAAUAGAUGUCAAAACUGCAUUCCUUAAUGGAUUUAUUAAAGAAGAGUUGUAUAUGAUGCAACCAGAAGGUUUUCUCAAUCCUAAAGGUGCUAACAAAGUGUGCAAGCUCCAGCGAUCCAUCUAUGGACCGCUGCAAGCAUCUCGGAGUUGAAAUAUACGCUUUGAUGAGUUGAUCAAAGCAUAUAAUUUUAUACAGACUUGCGGUGAAGCCUGUAUUUACAAGAAAGUGAGUAGGAGCACUAUAGCCUUUCUGAUAAGUAUAUGUGAAUGAUAUAUUGUUAAUCGGAAAUGAUGUAGAAUUUUCUGGAAAGCAUAAAGGAGUGUUUGAUAGGAGUUUUUCAAAGGAAGACUGAUAACCCACAAGUAUAGGGGAUCGCAACAGUUUUCGAGGGUAGAGUAUUCAACCCAAAUUUAUAGAUUCGACACAAGGGGAGCCAAAGAAUAUUUGAAGGUAUUAGCAGCUGAGUUAUCAAUUCAACCACACCUGGAGAUUAAUUAUCUACAACAAGUAAUCAGUAGCAAAGUAAUAUGAUAGUUUUGAUAGUAGUGACGGUAGCAACGAUAACAGUAACAGUGAUAGUAGUAUUUUUGUAGCAAGUGUAACAAUGAUGAUAGCAGUAGUAACUUAGCAGAAACAAUAUAAGAUAAAUUCGUAGGCAUUGGAUUCGUGGCUUGUUGGAUGAUAUUCAUCAUGUGACAGUUAUAACCUAGGGCGAUACGGCACUAGCUCCAGUUCAUCGGUAUAAUGUAGGCAUGUAUUCCAUAAAUAGUCAUACGUGCUUUAUUAAAAUAACUUGCAUGACAUCUUUUGUCCUACCCUCCCGUGGCAGCGGGGUCCAUAUUGGAAACUAAGGGAUAUUAAAGCCUCCUUUUAAUAGAGAAACGGAACAAAGCAUUAACACAUAGUGAAUACAUGAACUCCUCAAACUACGGUCAUCAUCGGGAGUGGGCCCGGUUGUUGUCACUCCGGGGUUGUUGAGGGAGUCCUGGAUUAAGGGGUCCUCGUGCGUCCGGCCUAUAUGACAUGGGCCGGACUGAUGGGCUAUGAAGAUACAAGACAGAAGACCUCUUCCCGUGUCCCGAUGGGACUCUCCUUUGCGUGGAUGGCAAGCUUGGCGUGCAGAUAUGUAGAUUCCGUUCUCUGUAGCCGACUUUGUACAAACUUAGUCCCCUCCGGUGUCUAUAUAAACCGGAGGGUUUAGUCCAUAGGGGCAAUCACAAUCAUACAGGCUAGACAUCUAGGGUUUAGCCAUUACGAUCUCGUGGUAGAUCAACUCUUGUAAUCCUCAUAUUCAUCAAGAUCAAUCAAGCAGGAAGUAGGGUAUUACCUCCAUCAAGAGGGCCCGAACCUGGGUAAACAUUGUGUCCCCCGUCUCCUGUUACCAUCGACCUUAGGCGCACAGUUCGGGACCCCCUACCCGAGAUCCGUCUGUUUUGACACCGACAUUGGUGCUUUCAUUGAGAGUUCCGCUGUGUCGUCAUCGGAAGGUUCGAUGGCUCCAUCCAUCAUCUACAACAACGCUGCCCUAAGGGAGGUUUUUCUCCCCGGCCAGAUCUUCAUAUUCGGCGGCCUCGGACUGCGGGCCAACUCGCUUGGCCAUCUAGAGCAGAUCGACAGCUACGCCCCAGGUCACCAGAUUAGUUUUGGAAAUCUGGACUACGUUGCUGACAUCCGAGGAGAAUUGAUCUUCCAAGUGUUCGCUACCCCAACUUCCGCUCUGGCCUUAGAUCCGGAGCACAUCGCCUGGUCCGAAGACGGGAUUAGUAAGCCCGCCGGACUAUCUGCGGCCGCUACACCUAGUAUGGGAGAGCCGGGGGAAAUAGUGUCGCGGGCAGCCAUCAUGAAGCCGGACUCUGGCCCCGAACACUCGGAGUCAGUAUCGUGUGAGCUCGGCCAAGGAGUCUCCCUCCCGCCGUACUCCAUGGAUUUUCUUCUCCCUGGCAGAACCUCGCCUUUAAGCGAGGCUCUGGACUUGAUGCGAUCCCUCGUCAUUACAGAGGAGCAAUGUUCGAACUACGCCCAGCCCGGACUAGGGGAUGAGAGCAGGGAAUUUUACGUCCCACCCACCACCCAUUUCAUAGCCACUGUCGAGGACUUAACUGACAUGCUCGAUUACGGCUCCAAAGACAUCGACGAUAUGGACGACGAUGCCGGAGAAGAGCAGGCCCAAAACCUGCCUUUUACCGGCCGCUGGAUGGCCACCUCUUCGUAUGACGUGUACAUGGUGGAUACACCCAAAAAGGGUAACGACGAUGACAAAGAGGAUCUAGUUGAGGAUGAACCUCCUGAGAUACAACCAAAGCGCCAACGUCAGCGGCGCCGCUCUAAAUCACGCCGCGGAAAAGACAGCAACGCCGGCACAUGAGAUGACAACACUCCGGACGGUGCCGAAGACAAAGAAGACCCCGUCGAGCCAACUUUCGAACGGGACGAUCGGGAAGAUGGGCAGGUUAGCCCUGACGAACAGGCCAUAAACAAAGACUCGGAGGAUAGCAACUAUCUUCCACUCUCCGAGGAUGAGGUGAGCCUCGACAAUGAGGACUUUAUUGUGCCUGAGGAACCCCUCAAGCUGGAGCGCUUUAAGUACCGGCUAAUUGCCACUGCAAGGAGCCUGAAAAAGAAGCAGCAGCUGCUGCUGCAAGCUGAUCAAGAUCUGCUCAACGAUAGGUGGACUAAUGUCCUGGCAGCCGAGGAAUAUGGCCUCGAGCGCCCAACCAAAAGUUACCCGAAGCGCAGAUUACUACCUCAAUUCAACGACGAGGCCCUUGAGGCCAUACCAUCAGCACGUAAUGCGGCUGACCGACCACCACGUGGCUGGGACAAAACGACAACUCAAGCCAAACACCAGCCCAUACCACCUCGCUGUAAAGGUAGACAUACAACAGCUCGGGGAUAUACAUAUGACCUGCGUCAGGACCUGGACAGUAGAGCAGGCCAGACCAGAUCGAUCUACGGAUCGCGAGGGCGUGCCCCAACGCACGACGACGGUUAUCUAGCCGGACGUGACAAGUAUAAUCACGUCCGGGCCAAAAACCGGAGACGGACUCCAUCCGAGCUGCGUCGCGACUUGGCCCGAUAUAGAGGCGCCACACACCCCCUCUGCUUCACUGAUGAGUAAUGGAGCACGAAUUCCUAGAAGGGUUUAAACCCGUGAAUAUCGAAUCGUAUGAUGGAACAACAUAUCCCGUGGUAUGGAUCGAGGACUUUCUUCUCCAAAUCCACAUGGCCCGCGGUGAUGAUCUUCAUGCCAUCAAAUACCUCCCGCUCAAACUCAAGCGACCAGCUCGGCACUGGUUGAACAACUUGCCUGAAAACUCAAUUGGCAGCUGGGAGGACUUGGAAGACGCCUUCCGCGACAACUUCUAGGGUACAUACGCCCGACCUCCGGAUGCCGAUGACUUAAGUCACAUAGUUCAACAGCCCGGAGAGUCAGCCAGGAAAUUCUGGACUAGGUUCUUAACUAAAAAGAACUAGAUCGUCGACUGUCCGGAUGCCGAAGCCCUAGCUGCCUUUAAGCACAGCAUCCGCGACGAAUGGCUCGCCCGACACCUCGGCCAGGAAAAGCCGAAAUCCAUGGCAGCCCUCACGGCACUCAUGACCUGCUUUUGCGCGGGCGAAGAUAGCUGGCUAGCCCGUAGCAAUAAUAAUUCAAGCGAACCUGGCACCUCUGAAGCCAGAAAUAGCAACGGCAAGCCCCGACGCAGCAGGCACAAGCGUCGAAACAACGGUGACAAUACCAAUGACACGGCGGUCAACGCCGGAUUCAGUGGCUCCAAGUCCGGCCAGCGGAAGAAGCCAUUUAAAAGGAACAAUCCGGGCUCAUCCAUCUUGGACCGCAUACUCGAUCGUCCAUGUCAAAUACACGGCACCCCCGAUAAGCCAGCCAAUCAUACCAACAGAAGCUGUUGGGUCUUUAAGCAGGCCGGCAAGUUAAAUGCCGAGAACAAAGAGAAGGGGUCAUAGAGUGAGGAGGACGACGAGGAGCCCCGUCAACCGAACACAGGGGGACAGAAGAAGUUUCCCCCAGGUUAAAACGGUGAACAUGAUAUACAUUACCCAUAUCCCCAAGAGGGAGUGCAAACGUGCUCUCAGGUACGUCUACACGAUAGAGCCGGUCGCCCCAAAGUUCAAUCUAUGGUCGUCCUAUCCGAUCACCUUUGAUCGCAGGGACCAUCCGACCAGUAUCCGUCAUGGCGGUUCAGCCGCACUGGUCCUCGACCCAAUCAUUGAUGGAUUCCACCUCACGCGCGUCCUCAUGGACGGUGUCGGUGUCAAAACCGGCGGAUCUCGGGUAGGGGGUCCCGAACUGUGCGUCUAAGGUCGAUGGUAACAGGAGACGGGGGACACGAUGUUUACCCAGGUUCGGGCCCUCUCUAUGGAGGUAAUACGCUACUUCCUGCUUGAUUGAUCUUGAUGAAUAUGAGUAUUACAAGAGUUGAUCUACCACGAGAUUGUAAUGGCUAAACCCUAGAGGUCCAGCUCGUAUGAUUAUGGUAAUGUAUCUCUCUUCUCCGGACUAAGUCCUCCGGUUUAUAUAGACACCGGGAGGAUCUAGGGUUACACAAGGUCGGUUACAAAGAAGGGAAUCCACAUAUUUGGUCGCCAAGCUUGCCUUCCACGCCAAGGAGAGUCCCAUUCGGACAUGGGUGCAGUCUUCGGUCUUCGUGUUCUUCACAGCCCAUCAGUCCGGCCCAUGGCUAACAGGCCGGACGCCCGAGGACCCCUUAGUCCAGGACUCCCUCAGUAGCCCCUGAACCUGGCUUCAAUGACAAGGUAUCCGGCGCGUAGAUCUGUCUUCGACAUUGCAAGGCAGGUUCCUCCUUCCGAACUCCAAGAUAGUCUUAAGACGUAUUGAACGUGUCCGGACCUGUAACACACGCACCACACACAACCGCAGAGAGAAUAUAAUAUUCCAUGAGUCCAAUCCGCUGACAACUUUUUACAACAUGACAUUACGUCUGCCCGGUCAUAAUUUUGAACCGUUUUUAGCCUGCAGCCCCGGGUUUCGAGGCGCGGCUUUAUUGGCAUGUCUUAUCCAAGUCAAGAUCGUGUCCCCCUUAUUAAGGGAUUGUCAUCAACACAGCCAUGGGUAACCCAACCGUCUCUGUGGUACAACUCCUUGGAAACAGGCAAGUUUUAAGGCCCAGGAGUAGGCGUUUAGAUAUUCACGGCCUUUAUAAAGGGGUGCACACCCGUCUUUUUCUCUUCCACGUUUGCUUCUUCCUCAGCCCUUGCUAUCUCGAGUUCUAAAACCCAAGUUUCGACCACCACAAGCCUUAGUCAUGUCCGGAUCCAGCCUUCUCGGUCGGUGGGUGGUUUCUUCUGUUACAGAGGAGGACAUUGCGAAUCUUAGGGCGGCGAGAUAUCUGACUGCAGAAAUCCUCCAUCGGCUCCCUGCCAAAGGGCAGGUUAUCCCUACCCCCAGAUCCAGCGAGAGGGUCGUGUUCAUCUCCCACUUCCUCUGAGGGUUAGGCUUUUCCCUUAAUCCCUUUGUUCGAGGGCUCAUGUUCUAUUAUGGGCUGAAUUUUCAUGAUCUGGCCCCGAACUCUGUUCUGCUUGUCUCGGCGUUUAUCGUCACGUGCGAGGCCUUCCUUCGAAUCCCUACACACUUCGGCUUGUGGCUCAAGACCUUCCACGUAAAGCCGCAGACGAUUGGGGGGAAGCAGGCGGAGUGUGGUGGCGCCACCGUGAGCAAGCUUAAUAGCGCUCUUUGGCUAAAAGGAUCCUUCACCGAGUCCUCUGACUUAUGGCAGCGGGAGUGGUUCUACAUCACCGAGCCCCGUUGCUCCAAGUUGGCGGCUGGGCCUGUGUUUCGAUCCAGCAUUCCGACCGAGCUCGCCUCAUGGAUUAAUAAGGGGUUGGACUAGGGAUCAAUUGAUGAGGUACAGACUCUUCAAAGCCACAUCAAGAGCCUCCUCGAGAGGGACAUUGAUCUUUUCAACGUUAUUCAAGUAAUGCUGGUUCGUCAGACCUUGCCGUGCCAGAGGCGACCCCUCUGCAUGUGGGAGUUUAAUCCCGAAGGGUCGCGGACACUUCAACACUUCUUUGGCACUACGCACAAAGCGAUGUGGAAAUUAUUCUUCGGGAAACGAAAACAGUGGCCGGAUACUACCGAAGACAUCGACCUUGACUGUAACCAUCCGGAUACCAUGGUAAGUACCCGUCGGCUGAACACCUCAUAAUCAGGUAUCCUGUGGUAAGACACUAAGCAAACCAUCUCUUUCCAGGCUGGAUAAAGAAAGCGGAAUGGAUUCGGUGUCCGGCCGCUCUUUCCGAAGACUCAGCGGACCCCGUGCUAACAAGGAUGCUGGCACCGGCACCGUAUCAGGCGCCGGUGGAGGAGGGCAAGGCGGAGAGUGGGAAGACCAGGGAUGGCCUUCGUUCCGGAGGUAAAUUAGACACCUAGUCCGGGGGAAUUGACAUUUCUUCGCCCGAAGACAAAGGCGAAGGAGAGGCAAGCAUCCCUUCUCCAUACAGGAAGAAAAGGGCCGCCUCCGAAGGUUGGGAGGAACUGACUCCCAAGAGGAGUAAGAUGCCAUCGUCGGGCGGCUCGGGAUUGGAAGGCGACGCCGUUGAACAGCUCCGUCGUGAGGACGGGCCUUUGACCAAAUCGUAAGUAAAUCCGGGGUGCUUUAAUCACAUCUCGUUCCUUUCCUGUUAUCGAAGUGACACAUAAUGUUCACGUGUGUCUUAACAGUUCGGCGCAGAGUGUUCCUGAGCGAUCCUCUUCUUCGGGAGAUCUUCUCCCAGAGAUGAUGGAAAGCGAGACGCCUCCCCCGGCCUCCCCGCCCAAUAGGGUGGACGACUCCGAAGUGUCGUCUCGGAGGGUUUUUCUUGAUCGACAAGCGGCGCAAGGGACGAAGGGGGCAGUACCCGAAGGUGAUCCUUCGAUCAUCCGGGAUUCAGGGGCCAACAGUGAAGGCCCCGGACUAUCCAGUUUUCAACCAGCGGUGAUUCUCGAGACGGGUGAACAGGUUCCUUCAAAGGAUGGUCGUGCUCCUACAGCGGCUUCCGGAGACCCAGCGACGCCAGAUAUGUUGAGGGAUAUGCUGCGAAAGGCAUCUGUCUUGGAGGAACAGCGUACCGUGAUGGGUACGGUGGUUGAGAGGAUUCUGUCCACGAAGAGCGGAUUGAAUGAAGCGUUCAUGAGCCUACUAAGAGGCUUCGAGGUUUGUGAUGUAAUAUUUCCAACUAUAUUUUAUUUGCAACAUGCACCUGUGUAUAGGUAGUAGCCCCUGAGACUCGGGUUGGCUUCCCAUGGGAGGCGAUCAGAGGAUCGAAAAGAUAUGCUCAGGGAAUAAUCUGGUUAAUUGGAACACAGGCUGUGUCGCCCCUGACGACUGCCCGGACUACAGAAGUUGCCGAGCUGCAGCGGAAGCUUGAUGUGGCAGGGGAUGAUAUUGCGUUAAUCAAUAGGCGUCUUGACGAGUCACAAGGUAUGUAUUCGGAGCAGUCAUUACACAUACGUGUUUAUAAUAUAAGCGUGACGCUGAAAAUUGCGUACUGGUAUAUGCAUGGCUGCAGAUGGUGCCACCGCCGUUGAGAUUCUUCGGACGGAGCUAGCCCGGGCCAAGGAGCAGGCCCGAUUUAGUAAUGCGGCUGCCGAAAAGGCAUCGGCCGAGUUAAAGGCCGAACAGGCUGCUCGGCGCAAAGACGAGGAGAAAAUAUCCACGAUGGCGCUCAAACUAAAAAAUGCCGCUAGCCGCUGUGAAUUCCUCGAGAAGGAGAAUAAAGCCAAGACGGCUGAUCUUGACAAGGCCUUGCAAGAGGCGAAAUAAGCGCGGUCCGAAUCUAGAGCGGCCCGUGAGGAGAUCCGGCAAGCUGGGGAGAUUGCGGCUGGUAAGCCCUUUUUAUUACAGACUAAGUUUGGCGAUCCGAAUUAUGCUUAGCUUAACCAAGUGUGGAGCUCUCCGGACGUGUUUUUAGACUUGCCGAAGAGCUCUUCUGAUGCGGCGCAGUUUUACAAGCGCAAGAGGGAUAUGCAACGGAGAAGCUUUUCUGGUCACAGUUUGGUGCAUCAAAACGCCCUCUGCUGCUGAAUGAACAGAUGUCCCAAUGGGCCGAGCUUCAUAGGAUAUCCGGUGCUGCCAUGAAGAACGUCAUAAUCCAGCUGUGGCCGACUGAGCCUAUUCCGAAUAGCUACUUCGGCUUGGUGUAGCGGCUUGCUGAUGCGGUGCCCCGUAUCGACGCUGUUAAGCGGUCGGCGUGCAUUGAAGGUGCACGGAUGGCCUUUGCCCGUGUCAAGACAUACUGGGGGAAGAUGAAGGCCAUCGAUGUUGUGGCGAAGGGUCCACCCAAGGGCAAGGACCAUCACGCACCAGAGAAUUAUUUUGAGGACGUCUUAGAGGCUGCCCGCUUGAUAGAGGGUCAAUGUUUGAAAGACAUAAUAUUUGAGUGAAGUUUAUAAUCGAGGAGGUCUAUCGUUCCGGUGCCAUAAAAAUCAACAACUUCGAAGGCACAAAUCCGAAGGUGGUGAACGGUCAAAGAAUCAAACAUUAUAUCUCAUGUAAUCCUAUAAAUGUUGAAACUAAUGUUAUUGAAACCGUAACCCCGGAGGAAUACAUAAGGGACACUUUCCAGAACGUUUCGGACUCCAAAAAGGAAUAGGUAUGUGGUACGGUAAGUAAACCGACUCCAAAACAGUUCUAAUAGUAAUUUUUCUCUGUUUUGGAAUAUUUAAGAAAAUAGGAAAAUAAGAAGUACUACGGGAAGGACACGAGGCGUCCAUGAGGGUGGAGGGCGCGCCCCCUGCCUCGUGGGCACCUUGUGUGCCCUCCGGACUUCGUUUUCUUGCACGAUACUUCUUUUGGUCGGUAAAAAUUCAUUAUAUAAUCUCCCUAAGGUUUUGACCCUCGUAUCACGCAAAUACCCUCUGUUUUUAUUUCGAGCUGUUUUCUGACAGAGUUGUUAAGGUCAGGCAUCAUGUCGUUCCCCUUCUCCAACAAUGAGGGCAACGAUGCUUGGCUAAUAAAGAUAGAGCUGAAGAGAGAAGAACUAGGGGAGAUCAACAAGGAUGAUGGGAUCAAGAAGGCCAUGGAGGAUCAAGCUCCGGCAGCAGAAGAAGAAGACGCCCUUCAACCUCAUUAUGAUCUUCUUACCCCAACUGAGAUUGAAGCUUUCGAGAUGAUUGAAUUAGCUCGCAUACAAAACAAGUAUCUCCCACAUGAAAAUAUUUUGUUGAAGGAGCAUAUCACCACACUCAAGGGCAUUAUCCGCAAAUUGGAGGAUCUCCUAUGCUCGAUGUGUGACUAUCCACCAUCACCACCAUCUUCUUCAUCAGCAAAAGAGACAUAGUCGCAUGGGUAUGGGCACUCCCCUUGGCAACUGCCAAGCUUGGGGAGGUGCCCCGGUAUCGUAUCACCAUCACACUCCUAUAUUUACUGUUUUUCUUAGUUCGAUCCUUUUGGUAAUAUCUUGAUCUAGUAGAAUAAAGUUUUAGUAUGAUUUAGUUCUGAGUUUUGCUUUAUGAUCCUUCUAUGUAAUCGAGUCCGUGAGCUAUAUAUAAUAAAGAUUAGUCUUGAGUCAAGGGCUUGAUUAUCUUACUAUGAUCUUGAGGGAAUAAAAAAAAGAAUAAAAAGAAAUAAAGAGAUCAUAUUGAUCUUAUGGAGAGUAAUGACUUCACAUAUAAAGAGUAUGAUGAAUAAAAGUUGUUGAGAGUUGACAAACAUAGUUUUGGUUAUCGUUGCAAUUAAUAGGAAGUAAUAAAGAGAGGUUUUCACAUAUAAAUAUACUAUCUUGGACAUCUUUUAUGACUGUGAGCACUCAUUAAAAUAUGACAUGCUAAAGAGUUGAUGUUGGACAAGGAAGACAACAUAAUGGGUUAUGUUUUCUUAUAUCCGAAAUAAAGUAUAUUGUCAUGGAUCAUCCAACAUGUUGAGCUUGCCUUUCCCCCUCAUGCUAGUCAAAUUCUUUGCACCAAGUAGAUAUACUACUUGUGUUCCCGAAUACCUUAAACCCAGUUUUGCCAUGAGAGUCCACCAUACCUACCUAUGGAUUGAGUAAGAUCCUUCAAGUAAGUUGUCAUUGUUGCAUGCAAUAAAAAUUGCUCUCUAAAUAUGUAUGAUUUAUUAGUGUGGAGAAAAUAAGCUUUAUACGAUCUUGUGAUGUGGAAGAAAUAAAAGCGACGGACUGCAUAAUAAAGGUCCAUAUCACAAGUGGCAAUAUAAAGUGACGUUCUUUUGCAUUAAGAACUUGUGCAUCCAACCAUAAAAGCACAUGACAACCUCUGCUUCCCUCUGCAAAGGGCCUAUCUUUUAUUUUCAUCUUAUGCCUUAUGCAAGAGUCAUGGUGAUCUUCACCUUUCCUUUUUUACAUUUUAUCCUUUGGCAAGCGCAUUGUGUUGGAAAGAUCCUGAUAUAUAUAUAUAUAUAUAUAUAUAUAUCCAAUUGGAUGUGAGUUAUCAUGAACUAUUAUUGUUGACAUUACCCUUGAGGUAAAAGGUUGGGAGGCAACACUAUAAGCCCCUAUCUUUCUCUGUGUCCGAUUAAAACUCCAUACCCAUAAGUAUUGCGUGAGUGUUAGCAAUUGUGAAAGACUAAAUGAUAGUUGAGUAUGUGGACUUGCUGAAAAGCUCUUAUAUUGACUCUUUCCGAUGUUAUGAUAAAUUGCAAAUUCAUCAAUGACCGAGAUUAUAGUUUGUUAGUUUUCAAUGAAGUUUCUGAUUCAUACUUUACAUUGUGAAUAGAUUGUUACUUUAGCAUAAGAAAUCAUAUGACAAUAUAUAUACAUGUUGCUGUUAUAAGAAUGAUCAUGAUGCCCUCAUGUCCGUAUUUUAUUUUAUCGACACCUCAAUCUCUAAACAUAUGGACAUACUUUUCGUUACCGGCUUCCGCUUGAGGACAAGCGAGGUCUAAGCUUGGGGGACUUGAUACGUCCAUUUUGCAUCAUGCUUUUAUAUCGAUAUUUAUUGCAUUAUGGGCUGUUAUUACACAUUAUGUCACAAUACUUAUGCAUAUUCUCUCUUAUUUUGCAAGGUUUACAUGAAGAGGGAGAAUGCCGGCAGCUGGAAUUCUGGGCUGGAAUGAAACUUCACAGAGGCAGCUUUUGGAAUUAAUAAAAAAUACCGGCGAAGGAAUCAACCAGAGGGGGACCACCCACCAUCCACGAGGGUGGGGGGCGCGCCCUACCCCCCUGGGCGCGCCCCCUGCAUCGUGGGCCCCCUAGCAGGCCUCCAGUGCCCAUCUUAUGCUAUAUGAAGUCUUUUACCCUGGAAAAAAUCAGGAGCAAGCUUUCGGGAUGAAACACCGCCGCCACGAGGCGGAACCUUGGCGGAACCAAUCUAGGGCUCCGGUGGAGCUGUUCUGCCAGGGAAACAUCCCUCCGGGAAGGGGAAAUCGUCACCAUCAUCACCAUCGAACCUCUCAUCGGGAGGGGGUCAAUCUCCAUCAACAUCUUCACCAGCACCAUCUCCUCUAAAACCCUAGUUCAUCUCUUGUAUCCAAUCUUUAUCUCAAAACCUCAGAUUGGUACCUGUGGGCUGCUAGUAGUGUUGAUUACUCCUUGUAGUUGAUGCUAGGUGGUUUAUUUGGUGGAAGAUCAUAUGUUCAGAUCCUUAAUGCAUAUUAAUACCCCUCUAAUUAUGUACAUGAAUAUGAUUUGUGAGCAGUUACGUUUGUUCCUGAGGACAUGGGAGAAGUCUUGCUAUAAGUAGUCAUGUGAAUUUGGUAUUCGUUUGAUAUUUUCAUGAGAUGUAUGUUGUCUUUCCUCUAGUGGUGUUAUGUGAACGUCGACUACAUGACACUUCACCAUUGUUUGGGCCUAGACGAAGGCAUUGGGAAGUAAUAAGUAGAUGAUGGGUUGCUAGAGUGACAGAAGCUUAAACCCUAGUUUAUGCGUUGCUUCGUAAGGGGUUGAUUUGGAUCCAUAUGUUUCAUGCUAUGGUUAGGUUUACCUUAAUACUUCUUUUGUAGUUGCGGAUGCUUGCAAUAGGGGUUAAUCAUAAGUGGGAUGCUUGUCCAAGGAAGGGCAGUACCCAAGCACCAGUCCACCCACAUAUCAAAUUAUCAAAGUAACGAACGCGAAUCAUAUGAGCGUGAUGAAAACUAGCUUGACGAUAAUUCCCAUGUGUCCUCGGGAGUGCUUUCCUUUAUAUAAGAGUUUGUCCAGGCUUGUCCUUUGCUACAAAAAGGAUUGGGCCAUCUUGCUUCACCUUAUUGACUUUCAUUACUUGUUACCCGUUACAAAUUACCUUAUCACAAACUAUCUAUUACCGAUAAUUUCAGUGCUUGCAGAGAAUACCUUACUGAAAACCGCUUGUCAUUUCCUUCUGCUCCUUGUUGGGUUCGACACUCUUACUUAUCAAAAGGACUACGAUAGAUCCCCUACACUUGUGGGUCAUCAACCUCCUUCUCUCGAAGGAGGCUACUUGCCUGAUUCCGGAGCCGUAUAGGUCUCUGGAAUUGUAUUCGGCGAAGGGCCGAAUUAAAUAUGGACCUCAUCGCCAGUCUCCAAGGGGAUUUUCUCCCCCAUGUGUCCGGCGACCGACAUAUUAGCCUCUGGCGCCACCCUGACGGCCUCCUGCUUUUCUCCCUGGCCUGGGGAGGUCCUUCGGGACAGCACCCCGGCGUCGUCCAUAGCCUGGGGAGAGGAGGCUGCUGGAAGGGACCCGCUGUCCAUCACCUUUGGAUCCAGCGAAUUCCCCGAAGAUGAGGAUCGCUGGAGGUUGGAACGGGCCGGGCUGCAGUGCAUGAUUCAACAUGUUAAUGCCAUGUAGUAAAGGAGCUGGAUAUAUGAGUGCGUCUUUGAGUACUUACUAUUCGGCCAGGGGCUUAUCCCUGGGGCGCCACUCGGAGCUGCUGUCGAUGUCCCACACGGAGUUGUCCGCGAGGGAGACCUUCCCCUUCUUGGACGCCUCUGCCUCCAGAUGCGUGGAGUGUAAUGCCCACGGUGCGGCUAUAUCUCCCACGUGUCGAGGCACGACUUAGAGGCAUAACCGCAUUGUGGUUUUGUCGCAAGAAGGGUCAUCUUCACACAAUCCCAUGUAAUGAAUAAGAAUGGGAUAACGAGAGUUGGCUUACAAUCGCCACUUCACACAAUACAUAAAUAUAAUUCAUACAUCAUACAAAAUCCACACAUAGACCGACUACGGUCAAAUCCAAAUGAAAAUAAGAUAACCCCAAAUGCUAGAUCCCCGAUCGUCCCAACUGGGCUCCACUACUGAUCAUCAGGAAAAGAAACAUCGUAACGACCACGUUCCUCGUCGAACUCCCACUUGAGCUCGGUUGCGUCAUCUGCACUGGCAUCAUCGACACCUGCAACUGUUUUGGUAGAAUCUGUGAGUCACGAGGACUCAGCAAUCUCACACCCACGAGAUCAAGACUAUUUAAGCUUAUAGGAAAGGAUGGUGUAAUGAGGUGGAGCUGCAGCAGGCACUAAGCAUAUAUGGUGGCUAACACACGCAAAUGAGAGCGAGAAGAGAAGCAACGCAACGGUCGCGAAGCUAGAAAUGAUCAAGAAGUGAUCCUGAAACUACUUACGUUCAUGCAUAACACAAACCGUGUUCACUUUCCGGACUCCGCCGAGAAGAGACCAUCACGGCUACACACACGGUUGAUGUAUUUUAAUUAAGUCAAGUGACAAGUUCUCUACAACCGGACAUUAACAAAUUCCCAUCUGCCUCAUAACCGCGGGCAUGGCUUUCGAAAGAUAAUACCCUGCAGGGGUAUCCCAACUUAGCCCAUUAUAAGCUCUCACGGUCAACGAAGGAUAAACCUUCUCCCAGGAAGACCCGAUCAGUCUCGGAAUCCCGGUUUACAAGACAUUUCGACAAUGGUAAAACAAGACCAGCAAAGCCGCCCGAUGUGCCGACAAAUCCCGAUAGGAGCUGCACAUAUCUCGUUCUCAGGGCAACACCGGAUGAGACUAGCUACGAGUAAAACCAGUCCUCAAGUUUCCCCAAGGUGGCCCCGCAGGCAGCUCGGUUCGAACCAACACUCGAAGGAGCACUGGCCCGUGGGGGUCUAAAAUAAAGAUGACCCUCGGGCUCGUGAAAACCCAAGGGAAGUGUAGGUGGUAGGUGGUCAAAUGGUAAAACCAAGGUUGGGCCUUGCUGGAGGAGUUUUAUUCAAGGCGAACUGUCAAGGGGGUCCCAUAAAUCACCCAACCGCGUAAGGAACGCAAACUCAAGGAACAUAAUACCGGUAUGACGGAAACUAAAGCGGCAAGAGUGGAACAAAACACCAGGCAUAAGGCCGAGCCUUCCACCCUUUACCAAAUAUAUAGAUGCAUUAAUUAAAUAAGAGAUAUUGUGAUAUUCCAAAAUAUCCAUGUUCCAACAUGGAACCAACUUCAACUUCACCUGCAACUAGCAACGCUAUAAGAAGGGUUGAGCAAAAGUGGUAACUUAGCCAAACAACGGUUUUCUAGGAAAGGAUUGUUAGAGGCUUGACAUGGCAAUAUGGGAGGCAUGAUAUAGCAAGUGGUAGGUAGCGCAGCAUGGCAAUAGAACAAAUAACUAGCAAAGCAAAGAUAGAAGUGAUUUCGAGGGUAUGGUCAUCUUGCCUGCAAGGUUCUCAGAGUUGUCGAAAGCUUGAUCCUCGUAAGCGUACUCAACAGGUUCCUCGUUCAUGAACUCGUCUCCCGGCUCUACCCACAGCAAGAACACAAGCAAUGGAACCACAAUCGAUCACGGGAAAUGCACAAGCAACAUGAUGCAAAACAUGUAUGAUAUGCGAGAUGUGAUAUGCGAUGCAUAUGCGUGCUCCAGAAAAAAAUGAUGAACAAGGCAGUAACUUGACAAACCAAGCAUGCCACUGGAAAGAUGAGAUGAUUUCGGUCGAAAUAGAUAUAAAGAUCACCGGAAACGGAUGCACGGUUUGCAAAUGGCAAGCAAAACAAGAAUGACACGAAUCUGCGAUUAACAGCAUGAUAGCACUUAGAAUACAACAAGUAACUAUGCUACAGCACUCCAACAUAGCAACAAAGCAUAUGGCAGUAAUCUACAGGAGAUGCUUGACAAAAGAUGGACACUGAUCUACGGCUAGAUCACACCACAGCAGGUUCAAACAAGCAUGGCAAAAGUGCGAAAGAUAUCAGGUUCACAGACUUAGUGAAAUUACUGGACAUGGCAGAAUCAGCAUCAGGUAGCAAUGUUCAGAGCAAGAAAUCAACAUGCUCCAGGAACUUAACAUGGCAAAACAAGGCAUGGCAUGAAUCUACGAAAUGCAUAGAACAAAAGUCCCUUACUGAUCAUAAGCCAAAAAGGAUCAGAAGAUAUGAUGGCAACCAUGUAAACAUAGCAAGUUUCGUUAACAGGUUCCAGACUUGGCAGAAAAAGAGUAUGGCAGAACAGACAUUAUGAGGGCAUCUUGGUGAGCUUGAUCCACUCACCACAAAGCAAUGCAUGACAUAACAAGCAUACCUACAGCAAUAUGGCAUGUUUAUGAAGCUAUCCAUGGCAAUAUCAAAUACAAAGCAUGUAUGAAAAAACUACAACAACCUUGGCAAAAUUGAAUAACACGUAAACAAUCUGCCAGAAAUAUUUUAUAGCAAAAGUAGAGCAAGAUUGAGUCAUGAUAGGGCACUCCAUAAUUGCAAACAGGGGCAUGGAUGGAUGGAGCACAACUAUAUCUACAAAACAUCCUUACUGAACAUCAUCAAAAGGAGCAUGGAUCUCUCUGUAGCCAUAUGGAUACAUAGCAACAAAAUAACAGCAGUCACAGACUUAGUAAAAAGUAAAAUUACCAAGUCCCUGAAAUCAGAAACAUCACGAAGCCUAGUUUGCAUACUUGUUCUAGUCACCACAUAGAUCAAAAAAAUACAUGGCAUACACCUCUGUAAAGAUGGCAUGGCAUCCAUCAAAACACAUGUAGAGCUCAUGCCCAUAAGAUGCACACAUCAAAUGCAACAAAAAUAACAAAUCCUCAAGUUCUGAUAAGUAACAGCAGGUAAUAGCAUAUAGCACUCUUGCACCAGAGAUUUGGGCAUCAAGAUGGACUCAAAUGAACAUGGCAUAAUGGAACAAAAUGAAGAGCAUCUCGAUACGAACAUUUCUAUAUAUUACACGCGCGAAACGGAGUAGUAUGCAGAGAGUUAUGAUGCGAUGAAUAGGAGCACAUUAUGCAAAAAUAUCCAGACUUAGAAUAUUUCGGGGAGAGGGGAGAGUCAACCUUCGGGUUGACCCGAUCAGGAUCUGGCUCGGGCUGCUCGAGCUCGCCGGAGUUGGGGCGCUGCGGCCGGAGCUCGGGGACGGAGGAGAGGGCCGGCGGGGAGGCGGCACCGGCGAACGGCGGAGGAGGAGGCGACGCCUCGGGGCGGCGGCAUGGGUGGAGCGGCGCGGGCGCCGACGGGCAUGGGCGGACGGCGGCGGGGUCGACNNNNNNNNNNNNNNNNNNNNNNNNNNNNNNNNNNNNNNNNNNNNNNNNNNNNNNNNNNNNNNNNNNNNNNNNNNNNNNNNNNNNNNNNNNNNNNNNNNNNNNNNNNNNNNNNNNNNNNNNNNNNNNNNNNNNNNNNNNNNNNNNNNNNNNNNNNNNNNNNNNNNNNNNNNNNNNNNNNNNNNNNNNNNNNNNNNNNNNNNNNNNNNNNNNNNNNNNNNNNNNNNNNNNNNNNNNNNNNNNNNNNNNNNNNNNNNNNNNNNNNNNNNNNNNNNNNNNNNNNNNNNNNNNNNNNNNNNNNNNNNNNNNNNNNNNNNNNNNNNNNNNNNNNNNNNNNNNNNNNNNNNNNNNNNNNNNNNNNNNNNNNNNNNNNNNNNNNNNNNNNNNNNNNNNNNNNNNNNNNNNNNNNNNNNNNNNNNNNNNNNNNNNNNNNNNNNNNNNNNNNNNNNNNNNNNNNNNNNNNNNNNNNNNNNNNNNNNNNNNNNNNNNNNNNNNNNNNNNNNNNNNNNNNNNNNNNNNNNNNNNNNNNNNNNNNNNNNNNNNNNNNNNNNNNNNNNNNNNNNNNNNNNNNNNNNNNNNNNNNNNNNNNNNNNNNNNNNNNNNNNNNNNNNNNNNNNNNNNNNNNNNNNNNNNNNNNNNNNNNNNNNNNNNNNNNNNNNNNNNCCCUGGCGGCGGCGCGGGAGGAGCGGGCCAGGCACGGGCCCUGCGGGCCGCGACGCGGGAGGAGAGAGAGAGAGCCGGCGGGGUGACGUGGCGUCCCCUGGUUGGCCGGGCGCGGCGGCGGGGAUGCGUCUGGUGGCGGCGGGGGCGAUUUUUGCUAGGGUUUCGCCCGGAUUUCGGAGGGGGAGGUGUUUUUAUAGGUAGAGGGAGCUAGGAGUCUCCAAAUGGAGCACGGUUUUCGCCCACACGAUCGUGAUCGAACAACCUAGAGCAUGGAAGUGACUUAGAGGGGUUUUGGGCUGUUUGGAGGGGGGUUUUGCUGCAACACACAAAAGGACUUUGCGGUUACCCGGUUAACCGUUGGAGCGUCAAACGACCUCCAAAUGGCACGAAACUUGACAGGUGGUCUACCGGUGGUAUACCAAGGCCACUUGGCAAGACUCGGUCCAUUCCGAGAACGUUCAACACCCGCUCACGAAAAGAAACAAGAGGGGGUGCGCCGGUGCAAGUGGGAGUGCCGGAUUGCAAAACGGACAACGGGGAAAAUGCUCGGAUGCAUGAGACGAACACGUAUGCAAAUGAGAUGCACAUGAUGACAUGAUAUGAUGCAUGACAUGAACAAAAUGCAAAACGAAAAACAGAACUCAACCACGGAGGGAAUAUCAUAACACAUAGCCGAAAAUGGCAAGAGUUGGAGUUACAAAUAUGGAAAGUUACAUCCGGGGUGUUGCAUGGAGGCUGCCCUUUUCUUCCCUCCCCACUCCGGGGGAGAAUUGCUUUCCUCCUCCUCGUCGUCCUCGGUGGGGGAGGAGAGGGUCUUGGCAUCUUCGGAUGUCACAUUCGAAGUGCCCUUAUGGCGGAGGCCACUUCUGGUCUCCUUGGCCUUCUUCUUGGCCUUCUUCUCCGGCGCCUGGUAGGGCGCCGGAACCAGCAUCUUUGUAAGAAGUGGGAUUGCUGGGUCUUCGGGCAGCGGAGCCGGACACUGAAUCCGCUCCGCCUUCUUUGUCCAGCCCUAAAGAAAACAACAAAUAGGGAAGCUUAGACGUCUUCCUUGAGUAUACAAGUAAAGGAUACACCUUGAAAUACGAAAAACUUAACGGACUGGCGGGAUGGGCCAGGACGUGCCCACGGUCCUCGGUCGUCGCCGGCCACGUCUCAUUGGCCUUAAAGAGCACCUUCCAGAUGUCUUCAUGCGUAGUGCCGAAGAACUGUUGCAAGGUUUGGUGCUCGGCCGGAACAAACUCCCACAAAUGGCAGGUCUGGCUUUGGCAUGGAAGGAUCCGGCAAACAAGCAUCACCUGGAUCACAUUGACGAGCUUGAUGUUCUUGUCUAUCAUGCUCCUAAUGCGCGUCUGAAACGCUGUCAGCUCGUCCGACGAAGACCAGCCCAGGCCCUUCUCUAGGCAGGAGGUGAGCCGCAUCGGGGCUCCAGACUAGAAUUCGGGAGCCACGGCCCAGGUGGCGUCGCGAGGCUCUGUGACGUAGAACCACUCUUGUUGCCACCCUUUGACGGUCUCCACGAAGGUACCUUUGGGCCAUGAAACGUUGGGCAUCUUGCUCACCAUGGCGCCUCCGCACUCUGCGUGUUGACCACCCACCACCUUCGGCUUCACAUUGAAGAUCUUUAACCACAAUCCGAAGUGGGGUGGGAUGCGGAGGAAGGCCUCGCACACGACAAUGAAUGCCGAGAUGUUGAGGAAGGAGUUGGGGGGGGGGUAGAUCGUGGAAAUCUAGCCCGUAGUAGAACAUGAGUCCGCGGACAAAUGGGUGGAGAGGGAAUCCCAAUCCACGGACGAAGUGGGGGAUGAAUACCACCCUCUCAUGGGGCUCCGGGGUGGGGAUGAUCUGCCCCUUGGCCGGAAGUCGGUGGGCGAUUUCCUUGGCCAAAUACCCAGCCUCCCGGAGCUUCGUGAUGUCCUUCUCCUUGACGGAGGAAACCAUCCAAUUGCCCUGCGCCAGAUCCAGACAUGGCUGGAGUGCUUUUUUGAGGUGGAGAGGAUGGAGGCUUGGGCGCUGGAGCUCGAGAAUGGAUGGGCAGAGAGAAAGAAGGCGUGGGUGAAAGGGUGAAUCCUUAUCUCCUUAUAAAGGCUGCGAAUAUCAAGCGCAUCCCCACUCGCCUUAAAACUCGCCUAUUCCCCAAGGGCCAUGCAGACGGCACGGUUGGAUUACCCACGCCCGUAUUGAUGAGAAUCCCAUGAUAAGGGGACACGAUCUCUGCUUCGACAAGACGUGCCAAUAAAACCGCACCUAGAAACAUGGAGCGGGAGGCUAAAAAACGGUUUGAAAUAAUGACCGGGCAGCGACGUGAUGUCACGCUACAAAAGUUGUCAGUAGAUUGGACUCGUGAAAUAUUAUACUCUCUGCGUGUGUGUGGGGUACUUGUUUUGCAAAGCCGGACACGUUUUCUGUGUUCGAAGGCUGUUUUCGAGUAUUCGGAGGAGGAACCCGCCUUGCAAUGCCGAAGACAAUCUGCGCGCCGGACACCUCGUCAUUGAAGCCUGGUUCAGGGGCUACUGAGGGAGUCCUGGAUUAAGGGGUCCUCGGGCGUCCGGCCUAUAUGACAUGGGCCGGACUGAUGGGCUAUGAAGAUACAAGACAGAAGACCUCUUCCCGUGUCCCGAUGGGACUCUCCUUUGCGUGGAUGGCAAGCUUGGCAUGCGGAUAUGUAGAUUCCUUUCUCUGUAACCGACUUUGUACAACCUUAGUCGCCUCCGGUGUCUAUAUAAACUGGAGGGUUUAGUCCAUAGGGGCAAUCACAAUCAUACAGGCUAGACAUCUAGGGUUUAGCCAUUACGAUCUCGUGGUAGAUCAACUCUUGUAAUCCUCAUAUUCAUCAAGAUCAAUCAAGUAGGAAGUAGGGUAUUACCUCCAUCAAGAGGGCCCGAACCUGGGUAAACAUCGUGUCCCCCGUCUCCUGUUACCAUCGACCUUAGACGCACAGUUCGGGACCCCCUACCCGAGAUCCGCUGGUUUUGACACUGACAGUUGCGGGAUCAUAACACGUAGUAGGUGACUAUAACUUGCAAGAUCGGAUCUAAAACAUGGAUAUAAUGAUGAAUUCAUAAAUGGUUCAGAUCUGAGUUCAUGGCACCCGGGCCCAAAGUGACAAGCAUUAAGCAUAGCAAAGUCAUAGCGACAUCAAUCUAAGAACAUAGUGGAUACUAGGGAUCAAGCGCUAACAAAACUAACUCGAUUACAUGAUGAAUCUCAUCCAACUCCUCACCGACCAGCGAGCCUACGAAGGAAUUACUCACUCCCUGUGGGGAGCAUCAUGGAAUUGGCAAUGGAGAUGGGUUGGUGAUGACGAAGAACGAAGACCCCCCUCUCCGGAGCCCCAAACGGACUCCAGAUCUGCCCUCUCGAGGAAGAACAGGGCUUGGCGGCGGCUCCGUCUAGUGAAACGCGAUAAUUCUUUCUCCCUAAUUUUUUUUCUGAAAUAUGUGAUUUUAUAGUAUCAGGGGGGUCGUCAGCAGGGCCACCAGGUGGGUACAACCCACCUGGGCACGCCAGGAGAGGGGCGCGCGCCCUGGUGGGUUGUGCCCACCCAGGUGCCCCUCUCCGGCAGGUCCUGGCUCCAGAAAUUCUUAUUAUUGAUAUAAAAAAUCCUCGCAAAGUUUCGUUCCAUUCCGAGAACUUUUAUUUCUGCACAAAAACAACACGAUGGUAGUUCUGCUGAAAACAGCGUCAGUACAGGGUUAGUUUCAUUCAAAUCAUGCAAAUUAGAGUCCAAAACAAGAGGAAAAGCGUGAGAAAAAGUAGAUACGUUUGAGACGUAUCAACUCCCCAAGCUUAAACCUUUGCUUGUCCUCAAGCAAUUCGGUUGAUAAACUGAAAGUGAGAAAGAAAAACUUUUACAAACUCUUUUGCUCUUGUUUGCAUAAAUAAGCUUAAACAACACCCAGGUUUUCAGCCAUUAUAACUAACCAUGUCGACAAUAACUCUUAAAGAUUAUAAUGACUCGUAUCAAUGACAUAAUCAGCUAGCGAGCAAUAAUAAGAUAUCUCAAAUAGCAACACAUUGUCAAAACAACCAUGAUAUAAUAUGACAAUAGUGGUAUCUCACUAGCCCUUUCUGAGACCGCAAAACAUAAAUGCAGAGCACCUCCAAAGUUCAAGCAGCGACUAAACAUUGUAAUUCAUGGUAGAAAAGAUCCAGUCAUGAUGCACCUAACAUUAGCUAUACACAAUGCGUAAAUCAUGACAGUUGUGCUCUACUCAGUUUCUGGCGCUUGUUUCAGAAGGUGGUGACACAACAUAAAAGUAAAUAGAAAGUCCCUUCGCAGAGGGAAGCAGUGAUUUGCAGAGGUGCCAGAGCUCAGUUUUUAAAACAGAGAUAAAUGAUUUUUUGAGACAUGCAUCCUUCUUAUUCACUUCAUGACCAUCAGUUAUCAACAUCUUCCAUGCUAAGCACGCUAGUGGCGGUUCCCAAGCGAUAAAAGUAAAGGUUUUGACUCCAUUGGGAGUUUUUGUUUGAUUAUUCAAGAGAUGAACUCUUUUUCAUGUUUGCAGUUUGGGACUGGGCAUCCCUAUUACCGCCCAUUUCCUCGUGCAAUGGCGAGUGAAUAAACACUCGACCUGAGAAUAACCCGCUUAGCAUGGAAGAUAUCGACCACCUCCUGUAGUUCCAUGGACGAUCCAGGCACACAAACAGGAUAAUUUUUAGAAGUUUUUAGAGGUGGCACAUGAAAAUUUACUUAGGAUGGCAAGGUAAUACCGUAUAUAGGUAGGUAUGGUGGAUUCAUCUGGAAUAACUUUGGGUUCAAGUUUUUUGAUGUACAAGCAGAGUUCCCACUUAGUACAUGCGAAGGCUAGCAAUUAAGAUUGAGAAGCGGCCAGCUAGAGAGCAACAACGAUCUUAACCAGGCAUUAUGCAUAAGUAACUGAUACGUCUCCAACAUAUCUAUAAUUUUUGAUUGUUCCAUGCUAUUAUAUUAUCUGUUUUGGAUGUUUAAUGGGCUUUAAUAUGAUCUUUUAUAUUAUUUUGGGGACUAACCUAUUAACCGAAGGCCCAGUGCCAGUUUCUGUUUUUUUGCCUAUUUCAGUGUUUCGCAGAAAAGGAAUAUCAAACAGAAUCCAAACGGAAUGCAACCUUCGCGAUGAUCUUUCUUGGAGCGAAAGCAAACCAGGAGACUUGGAGAUGAAGUCGGAGAUGCAACAAGGCGACCACGAGGCAGGAGGGCACGCCCAAGGGGGGUAGGCGCGCCCCCACCCUCGUGGCCCCCUCGUGGCUCCACCGACAUACUUCUUUCGCCUAUAUACACUCUUAUACCCUAAAAACAUCAAGGGGAGCCACGAAACCACUUUUCCACGGCCGCAACCUUCUAUACCCGUGAGAUCCCAUCUUGGGGCCUUUUCCGGCGAUCUGCCGGAGGGGGAAUCGAUCACGGAGGGCUUCUACAUCAACACCAUAGCCUCUCCGAUGAAGCGUGAGUAGUUUACCACAGACCUUUGGGUCCAUAGUUAUUAGCUAGAUGGCUUCUUCUCUCUCUUUGGUUCUCAAUACAAAGUUCUCCUUGAUGUUCUUGGAGAUCUAUUCGAUGUAAUACUUUUUGCGGUGUGUUUGCUGAGAUUUGAUGAAUUGAGGAUUUAUGGUCAAGAUUAUCUAUGAAUAAUAUUUGGUUCUUCUCUGAAUUCUUAUAUGCAUGAUUUGAUAUCUUUGCAAGUCUCUUCGAAUUAUCGGUUUAGUUUGGCCUACUAGAUUGAUCUUUCUUGCAAUGGGAGAAGUGCUUAGCUUUGGGUUCAAUCUUGUGGUGUCCUUUCCCAGUGACAGUAGGGGCAGGAAGGCAUGUAUUGUAUUGUUGCCAUCGAGGAUAAAAAGAUGGGGUUUAUAUCAUAUUGCUUGAGUUUAUCCCUCUACAUCAUGUCAUCUUGGUUAAUGCGUUACUUUGUUCUUAUGAACUUAAUACUCUAGAUGCAUGCUGGAUAGCGGUCGAUGUGUGGAGUAAUAGUAGUAGAUGCAAAAUCGUUUCGGUCUACUUGACACGGACGUGAUGCCUAUAUUCAUGAUCAUUGCCUAGAUAUUCUCAUAACUAUGCACUUUUCUAUCAAUUGCUCGGCAGUAAUUUGUUCACCCACCGUAAUACAUGCUAUCUUGAGAGAAGCCACUAGUGAAACCUAUGGCCCCCGGGUCUCUUUCUUAUUAUAUUGCAUCUCUUUUAUUUACAUCACAUCUCGUUUACUAUUUUGCAAUAUUUAAUUUCCAAUUUAUACAACAAAAAUACCAAAAAUAUUUAUCUUACUAUCUUUAUUAGAUCUCACUUUUGCGAGUGACCGUGAAGGGAUUGACAACCCCUUUAUCGUGUUGGUUGCAAGGUUCUUGAUUAUUUGUGCAGGUACUAGGUGACUUGCGUGUAAUCUCCUACUGGAUUGAUACCUUGGUUCUCAAAAACUGAGGGAAAUACUUACGCUACUUUGCUGCAUCACCCUUUCCUCUUCAAGGGAAAACCAACGCAUGCUCAAGAGGUAGCAAGAAGGAUUUCUGGCGCCGUUGCCGGGGAGAUCUACGCUCAAGUCAAGACAUACCAAGUACCCAUCACAAACUCUUCUCCCUCGCAGUACAUUAUUUGCCAUUCGCCUCUCGUUUUCCUCUCCCCCACUUCUAAAACAAUUUUCAAAAACCUUUGCCUUUUCUUCGCCCCUCUUCCGUUCGCCUCCUUUCGCUUGCCUCUUGUGUGUCCGUGUGUUAAAUCGUUUGUUUCGCCAUCAUGGCUAGUCCUCCUAUCAUUGUUAAUACUCCCAAUAAUGAAGUUCUCAAUUUUAAACAAAGGGAGGGAGAAAAUCUAAAAGAUGCUUGGUAUAGAAUUUGCAAUGCUCAAAAUAGAUCUACUAAAAAGCAAUCCACUUCCGUUCUUCUUCGCAAUUUUUACGUUGGCAUCACUCCUUGAAAUAGAUAUGUUCUUGACACCAUUACCGGAGGGAAUAUCUAGGGAAGCCAUACUUUUGAUUCUUAUAAUGCUAUGAUAGACUUGUUAGGCCCACCACCUCUUUUGGUCAAUGGAACUAUUGUAACUCUGGAACAUGUGAUGCAAAGGCUUGAUAUUAUUGAAAAUAAAAUUGCCACUGUAGAGUUAAUUGAAAAUUUGGAUAAAAAGAUCCACAACCACAUUACCCAAUAUGUAUGUAAGGUAGGAGUAACUCUGAAAAAUCUUAGGGAAAAGGAACCCAUAGUUAAUGAAAAGAUAGACCAAGAUUCCACUAGAAUUGAUAAACUCGAAGACAUUAUUACCAACUUGGGAUCCGCUUUUUCUGCCAUUAAAAAUACCUCAAAUCCUCCUCCUACCAAAGUUGCCAAGUUUAUCUAUGUUCCUAAAAAUAAGGGUGAAUCUUCUACUAAGGAAAAUGAAGACCUCAAAUCAAUAAGUGUUCACCCCAACUUUUUCGAUAUCAUUAAGGAACCUUUUACUACAAAUGAAUUUCUCGAUUCCUUGCCUAGGAUUUUUAUCAUUAGCAAAACCAAAGAACCUUCUAAGGGUCAUGAACGUUCAAUUGAAGAAUUGCAUACCAAAUAUGACAAUACCUAGAUCUAUUCUUGUUCUUAUGCCUAGCUAGGGGCGUUAAACGAUAGCGCUUGUUGGGAGGCAACCCAAUUUUAUUUUUGUUCCAUGAUUUUUGUUCCUGUUUAGUAAUAAAUAAUUCAUCUAGCCUCUGGUUAGAUGUUGUUUUAUGUUUUAAUUAGUGUUUGUGCCAAGUAGAACCUUUGGGAAGACUUGGAUGAAGUCUUUGCGAUCUUGCUGUAAAAAACAGAAAAUUUUGCGCUCACGAGAUUAGAUGCCAGUUUUUACUGGAGAGUGCUUUUAGGUUGAUUAUUUUUGAAGAUGAUUAAUAGACAAAUUACUCACGUCCACCAAUUUAUUUCAGAAUUUUUGGAGUUCCAGAAGUAUUUGUUUGAUACAGAUUUCUACAGACUGUUCUGUUUUGACAGAUUCUGUUUUUCGUGUGUUGUUUGCUUAUUUUGAUGAAUCUAUGAGUAGUAUCGGGGGGUGUUGAGGAUAUAGACCUUAGAGUCACCCGCCAGGAGGGGCCGGGUUACUCGUACGGUCGUUGCCAGAAGCCCGGAGCCAAGUUUCAAGACGAUGAGCCAGAUAUGGGCUGAGACCCGGAUAUGGCUUAAGGCCCGUAGUUACAAUCAUUAUUAUAGUAGAACUUGUAGCGUAAGGCAAGUAUAGUUUAGAGUCCGAGCCGGACACUCUUAUGAGCCGGCCGGGACUCUAAGGGCUGCUGGGCGUGUUCCUCCCUAUAUAAGGGGACGACCCGGCAGCGGUUUGAGGGCGACAACAAUCUCAUCGAGAGCCGGGAAUAGCUGUUUAGCUCCUGGCGAUCGUAACCCCAAUCAAUAUCACCCCAAACUGGACGUAGGCUUUUACCUUCACCGUAAGGAGCCGAACCAGUAUAAACCCUCUGUUCCUUGUCCCGCAUAACCCCUUCAAGCUUCCUAGUUGCGAUGGCUCCACGACUAAGUCCUAGCUCAAGGGCAUCUGCCGUGACAAUUCCACGACAGUUGGCGCCCACCGUGGGGCUAGCGCAUGGUGGAUUUGAGUUCUUGAAGGGCAGCUUCGAAGGGCUCAAGGGAUACGCUGUGGGCCGGAUGACCAAGAGUCGUCGCGGCAAGCUCUACAUCGACGAUGCGGACUGGGGCCCCGACGCCGGCUCAAUUGAGUACGGGUACCGGGUCCCCUUUGGCGGAAUUCAUGUCUUCAUUGGCAAGAUUGGUGAGCCGGGCCCCGAGCCGGAUUUCUGCGCCGAUUUCAUCGAAACGGCUCAGCGUGCACGACCCGCCCGGGCCCGGCCUGCCUUAAGGCGCGCUUUUGUGGGAUGCAUCCAUGGAGGGCCCUCUGAUCCAUCUGGGUCUGGUGAUGAGGCGGCCGCCGGCUCUGACGGCGAGUCGGCCACCGAUGAAUCAAACUCGUUGUACAAACUUCAAGAUGGCAGGCUCAUGGGUUGUUCCGAUGGCGACAGCAUUCCGGUCCUUUUUGAGCCGCCAAGUCAGGUUGGAGUUUUUAUGGCUGGUGCGCAGCCUGUUCAGAACCCCGCUGCUGGAUCGGGAAACCCGGUGCCUUCUCCGGCUCAGGUGCUGAUGGAUCUCACGGACAAGAUGACGGCCCUGCUAAUCGCCACGGUUGACCCGGCGAAUCAAGCUCAGCAUGAUGCGGAGGUGGCACAGUUAAAACUGGAUUUGAUAAAAGCUAAAGAGGAUCUUGCAGCGGAAGGGAUCAGGCUGGCUGCGGAGUGGGCGGCUCUCGACGCCCGGACUCAGCUGAUUCAGGCGCAGUCCUUCCAACUCACGAUGGAUCAGAACGCGACCAACGAGGUCAUGAGAAGGAGGCAUCAGAAGGCCCAGUCUCGACUCCCACCGGUUUACGAUCCACGCAAUCUCUUCAACACGCCGGGCGCAGGAUCUAGUAACCCGCCAGGGGGCAUUGCGCCCGGGUCUGGACCCCUUAUUCAGCCACGAGUGAUGGGCCUCCCCAGGUGCCCCCUGCCCCGCCUCAGUAUGUGCCAAUACCCCCGGGUCAUUAUGAUAACCCGCUGGAGAACAUGGUGGCUGCGGCAGCAUGGCUGGCGGCUCUCCCCGUUAACGGCGACUCUCCGGCGGCCAUCGAAACCCGCCGGGUCAGGGAACUCCUGCAGACGGCACUGGCGCAGCAAGAGGCGUACUCCUACAGCCGGGACAGGAUCCACUCGACCCCUCGUCCAGGCCAGAGCCCGAGUUACAGCCGGCACAUGGUCUCAGCAACCGGCUCAAGUAAUGUCCGACGCCAUGACCCGCCCCGUGGCCAUGGCCCGGCUCAUACUGGAGCCUUUUACGCGACAGACCAAGCGCGGCAAGAGGCGGAGCAGGUGCCUCAAUUGACAGCUUAUCAGACCCCCCCGGCUUAUCCGACGACUUCCGUUGAUGUGGGUAUCCCUACCAGGACCGGGGGUGUCCCUUGUUUGGUGCCAGCUAUCCGUAAUGAACGUUUACCUAAGGACUUCAAGGGCCCUAGGAAGGUGCCUAACUAUACAGCUGACUUACAGCCUACAGCCUGGAUUGAGAGUUAUGAGAUGGCUAUGGAAUUGCUGGAGGUCAGUGAGGCGGCCAUGGCCAAGUAUUUCACCAUGAUGUUAGAUGGAACUGCCCACACGUGGUUGAAAGGGUUACCACCGAAUUCCAUUGGGUCUUGGACUGAGCUGAAAGCCCGGUUCAUCCAAAACUUCAAAGAUACCUGUAGGCAAUCCAUGUCAAUUGUGGAUCUGACUAACUGUAAGCAGCAGGAGGGUGAAUCCAUGACCCAUUGGGUUCGCCGGGUCAAGGAGAUCAUACAUUCAUCGGAUAAGAUGGAUGCCGGCUCUGCAGUCUUAAUGUUGGAACAAAACUGUCGCUUUGUGCCCCUAAAGAUGAAACUCGGGCGGCUUAAACGUGACUGCACUGAUAUGGGUACACUAAUGGCGGCUCUUGUCAAAUACGCCGAUUCCGAUGGUACCAAGGAUCCCCCUUCAGAUGAUGAAAGGACAGGGAAGGGAAAGAAGAACCGCAAUGGCAAGGGUCCUCAGUUUAACCCGGGGAACCAAGGAGGAGGCAAGCGCAAGGCCGAUGGCAGCCUAGAGUUCGUAGCCAACGCGAACUCCCAAGGUAAUAACCAGCGACGCAAGGGGAGGCCCCCUCCCCGAGGCGGCGGGUCAGGACCCUCUCUGGAGCAGCUGUUGAAUGAGCCUUGUCCGAGGCACGGCUCUAGAGAGAAGCCAGCGACUCAUCUGUGGAAGGAUUGUGCAAUCAUGAAGGCCUUUAAAAACUACAAUGGCCCGGGCGGCGGCUCAGGUGCCGGCGGCUCAGGCGCUGGCGGCUUUCAUGGCCCGGGGGGGCGGCUCAAAUUCUGGCCCUCAGGGCGGUCAAGGGGGCUUUAAUCAACAGUCUGGCCAGGGUCAUCAACAGCAGCAGGGGGGUUAUCAUACCAAUCCAAAGCAGCUUAGCGGUGGACAGUAUCAUGUGUUUACCACUAGUUUGUGCAAACGAGAUCAGAAGCUUCACAAGAGGGCUGUGAAUGCUGUUGAGCCGGCAGUUCCACGCUACUUGCGGUGGUCUGAGCAGCCUAUAGUGUGGAGUAGGGAGGAUCACCCUCCCCGGGUGGAUAACCCGGGCCACUUGGCCUUAGUGGUGGCUCCUCAGGUGGGAGGUUAUAAGUUCACAAAGGUACUCAUGGAUGGAGGCAGCAGCAUCAACAUCCUCUAUUAUGAGACUUUUCGCCGUAUGGGGUUGGUUGAUAAGAACCUCAGCCAGUCAAACACUAUUUUCCAUGGUGUGGUACCUGGUAAGUCGGCUUAUCCAGUCGGCAAGAUCGAAUUGGAAGUGGCUUUUGGUGAUGAGAACAACUACAUGGUGGAGAAGUUGACCUUUGAGGUGGUCAAGAUAAGAAGUCCAUACCAUGCUAUAUUUGGACGGCCGGCUUACGCCAAGUUCAUGGCACGGCCGUGUUAUGUGUACUUACAGCUCAAAAUGCCGGGUCACAACGGGACUAUUACGGUUCACGGCAGCCAGAAAGUGGCUCUAGAGUGCGAGGAAGACGACGCAGCUUAUGCAGAGUCUGUUUGUGCUACAGAGGAGUUGAAAUUUUACAAAGACAAUGUUGACCCAACAGAUAUGACCUCUCUGAAAAAGCCAACCACGGAGAAUGAACCGGCAAUGAAAUUUAAAUCAGCUGACGAGACUAAACUUGUUGAUUUUGUUCCAGGUGACUCGUCUCAGCAGUUUAGCAUCAGUGCAAAUCUGGAUCCGAAAUAGGAAAGCGCGCUCAUCGAGUUCAUCCGUGAGAAUAGGGACAUCUUCGCGUGGAAACCUUCUGACAUGCCAGGUGUACCUAGAGAACUCGCUGAGCACACUCUCAAUGUUGAUCCGAAAUUUAAGCCGGUCAGACAGUUCCUUCGGCGGUUUAAUGAAGAGAGGCGGAAAGCUAUUGGUGAAGAAGUGGCCCGGCUCCUGGCGGCCGGGUUUAUCGUUGAAGUCUUUCACCCAGAAUGGUUGGCUAACCCGGUGCUCGUGCUCAAGAAGAACGGCACCUGGCGGAUGUGUGUGGAUUACACGGACUUGAACAAGGCGUGUCCGGCUGAUCCUUUUGCCCUCCCCUGUAUUGAUCAAAUCAUUGAUGCUACGGCAGGUUGUGCACGCUUAAGUUUCUUGGACGCUUAUUCCGGGUAUCAUCAAAUUAAGAUGGCAGUUAAGGACCAGGAGAAGACGGCGUUCAUCACUCCCUUUGGAGCCUUCUGCUAUGUGUCUAUGCCCUUUGGACUCAAGUGUGCACAGGCAACUUACCAGCGUUGUGUACAGAAUUGUCUUCAUAAACAGAUCGGGCGCAAUGUUCACGCUUACGUGGAUGAUAUUGUGGUUAAAUCCAUCAAAGAGGAAACCCUUAUAGAUGAUUUAAGGGAAACCUUUGAUAAUCUCCGGGUCUAUAAGAUGAUGCUUAACCCGGCCAAGUGUGUCUUUGGUGUUCCUGCAGGCAAACUAUUGGGCUUCUUGGUUUCUGACAGAGGCAUUGAGGCUAACCCGGAGAAGAUCAAGGCCAUCACCUCUCUAGCUAACUCGGGUCGCAUCGCUGCUUUAAGCCGGUUUAUAAGCCGUUUGGGUGAGAAGGCCAUGCCCUUAUAUCAGUUGAUGAAGAAGACUGAUAACUUUGCCUGGAAUGAUGCAGCUAAUACCGCUUUUGAGGAUUUGAAGAAGCAGCUGGCAGAGCCCCCAGUCCUUGCUGCUUCGGUUGAUAAGGAGCCCUUGCUACUAUAUGUGGCGGCAAACGCAUGAGCCGUCAGCGUGGCUAUUGUGGUGGAGCGCAAGGAGGCGGGUAAGGAGCAUCCAGUUCAGCGGCCGGUUUAUUAUGUCAGCGAAGUGCUCAUUGAGUCCAAGCAGCGGUACCCGCAUUGGCAGAAGCUUGUGUAUGGUGUGUUCAUGGCGAGCCGGAAACUUAAGCAUUAUUUUCAGGGUCAUCCCAUCACUGUGGUCAGCUCUGCCCCUCUUGGUGAUAUCAUUCAAAACAGAGAGGCUACAGGGAGAAUUGCUAAGUGGGCUAUAGAACUUGGACCUCAUGGCCUCAAAUAUGUGCCACGCACUGCUGUUAAAUCUCAGGCUUUGGUGGAUUUCAUCAAUGAUUGGACAGAGUCACAAGUGCCCGAGCAAAAGCCGGACAACACUUAUUGGACUAUUCACUUUGAUGGGUCCAGGCAGCUGGAGGGCUCGGGGGCUGGCGUUGUAUUGGCUUCCCCUAAAGGUGACAAGUUCCAUUAUGUGCUACAGUUGAUGUUUCCUUGCACUAACAAUGCGGCUGAAUACGAGGCUUUGCUCCACGGUCUUCGGGUGGCUAAGGAGAUGAGCUUAAGCCGGGUAAGGUGCUUUGGUGACUCAGACUUGGUGGCUCAACAAGUAUCAGGCACGUGGGAUUCUAAGGAUCCUCUCAUGGCGGCUUAUCGCCGCGAGGUUGAUGCCAUUGCUGGGCACUUUCAGGGAUACCAAGUGGAGCACAUUGAUCGCAGGAAGAACGAGGCGGCUGAUGCUUUAAGCCGGCUAGGCUCUCAGCGAAAGCCGGUGCCGCCUAACACUUUCCUGGAUAUCCUGUAUAACCCUUCGGUUAAGUUGCCUACAGAGGAAGACUUGGCUAUUCCUGACCCGGAAGCACGACUGGUGGCGGCUCUUCAUGUCAUACCAGACUGGACAAUGCCAUAUCUGGCUUAUAUAACCCGGGGAGAGUUGCCUGAGGAUGAAACUUUGGCCAGGCAAAUAACCCGGCGGGCUAAGUCAAUGGUCGUCAUCGAUGGCGAGUUACAUCAUCGCAGUGUUUCAGGGGCAUUUCAAUGUUGUAUCUCCCCUGAGGAAGGCCAAGAGAUCUUGCGGGAGAUCCAUGAAGGGGAUUGUGGCCAUCAUGCCGGCUCAAAAUCCCUUGUAGCCAAGGCUUUCCGUCAUGGUUUUUAUUGGCUGACGGCUCAUGCUGAUGCAGAGGACUUGGUCAGUAAAUGUGAUGGUUGCCAAAGGUUCUCACGACGGGCUCAUGUGCCGGCUCAGGAGUUGAGGAUGAUCCCAAUCACUUGGCCCUUUGCGGUCUGGGGGCUUGAUAUGGUUGGGCCUUUUAAACGGUCCAAGGAUAAGAAGACCCACCUCUUGGUGGCAGUUGACAAAUUCACAAAGUUGGUGGAAGCUGAGCCAGUUAGCAAGUGCGAUGCAGCCACGGCAGUUCAAUUUAUGAAAAAGGUGAUUUUCCGCUUUGGUUUUCCACACAGCAUUAUAACUGACAAUGGCACCAAUCUCUCCAAAGGCGCCAUGGAAGAAUUUUGUCAACGAGAGCAUAUCCGACUUGAUGUUUCAUCAGUGGCUCAUCCUCAAUCCAGUGGUCAGGCUGAGAGAGAUAACCAGGAAAUUCUGAAGGGUAUCAAGCCCCGGCUCUUGGUCCCUUUACAACGGACGCCGGGUUGUUGGGUGGAGGAGUUGCCUUCCGUCUUAUGGAGCAUCAACACUACUCCUAACAGGUCUACAGGCUUCACGCCUUUCUUCAUGGUUUAUGGAGCAGAAGCAGUCCUCCCCAGCGACAUCCGUCACGAUUCACCUCGCGUGGCGGCUUAUGUUGAGACGGAUAAUGAACAGGCGCGCCAAGAUGCUCUGGACUUGUUGGACGAACAGCGUGAUGUGGCAGCAGCCCGUUCAGUGAUUUACCAACAAGACCUGCGCCGUUAUCAUAGCCGCCGGGUCAAAUCCCGGGUCUUCCAGGAAGGCGACCUUGUGCUCCGGCUCAUCCAGGAUCAAACAGAUGCACACAAGUUAUCCCCACCUUGGGAAGGGCCCUUUGUGGUCAGCAAGAACUUGCACAACGGGUCAUAUUACCUCAUUGAUAUUCGGGAGCAUAAAGAUUCACGUAAAUCUGAGGAAGAGACCCGUCGGCCGUGGAACAUAGCUCAGCUUCGGCCUUACUACACUUGAGCUACCGGCUCUCGUGGUGUGCAUAUUUAUCUCAGCCAUGUAUAUAUUAUGAUAAGCAAUAAAGCAGGACCUCUGUCCUUUUUUCUCCUCCAAAUAUGCGUGUGUUGUUUUUUCUUACAAGAUUGCAUGCUGACUUAAAGGAGGAUCCGGCUUAUGAUCGUAUUCGAAUCUAGCCGUAAGCAGUAAAGUCACUUGGGGGCUUCCUGUUCAAACAUGGGUCGUAUUCGAACCAAAGAGAACAUAGCUGUCGAUACCCAUUUGAUUGGCAAAGUGCCGAGCUCAUUGGGAGGUUGCCUUUGGUCAUAUUUGAAUCAUAGUUUAACCCCUCUGAGAACCGACAUGGAUCGUAUUCGAAUCAGCAUCGUUAAACAAUCUUAAGAAUCACUUGGGGGCUUCCUGUUCAAACAUGGGUCGUAUUCGAACCAAAGAGAACAUAGCUGUCGGUACCCUCUUGAUUGGCAUCGCCACACCCACUGGGGGCUAUAUGAUCGUAUCCGAAUCUUGGCUUAACCCCUUGGGGCCGGGUCUCUGGUCGUAUUCGAACCGGAAACCCCUAAGUUCUUCACAAGUUUACUCUGAGGUGUGCACGGCCGGGUCUCACUUGCCGGCUUAACUUUGGUUUACAGUGUUAGUUACACGUCAUGGGUGUCAUCAAGGCAAGUAAAUCAGAGUUAAGGUAUCAACCUUACUGCCCUGGUUAUUUAAACCGGAGGUAUACUUACAGGCCGUUAAGUGUGAUUGUUACGGCUAUGUUCAGAGUAUAAUUAAGGACCAGUCUUUUUUGAUUCAUAUUCCGGGUUAUCUAUUUCAAACACCUGAUUCUCAGGGCGGUAAGCCGCCUCGAGACCUGUGAUUUGCCUUUCUAUGCAGAUACUUAAAGGCACCUUUUAAGGUUGAGAAAAACACAGGGAUGAUUAUAACCCGGAGAAACAUCAAAGAGACAAAUUUAAAGGGCUUUAGCAUUCAAAACGUGCACGACGGCACAACAGAGAUAAACUGUUUGCACCUACUCUAUUACAAUAAUUCUUCAAGUCUAAAAGAUGGAACAAUGUUUGAUAAGCCGCCAGCUAAAUUAUGAUGCCCGCUGAGUUGAAGUCCCUGGCUCAUUCCUGUCUUCUCCUCCGGCUGAUCCCAAGACCUCGAAAGUUGAUGAUUUCCAGUCGAUGCCGCUGAGAGCUUCGAACUGGGCUUCUUCGUCAAUUAACCCGGCCGGGUCAAUCUCGGGGGCGAAGGUGUGCUGACGAGCCGGAGGGAUCAGAUUGAGGGCUUCAUAGCGAGGGGUUGGAAUCCUCUGAUUCUCCGCAUCAUAACCCCGCUGGUACUUGGUCAAGUCGGUGUCGUUCCCGAUGAGGGUGGCCACCGGGCGUACAGCCUUCACACAUGCCGCGAAGUCCUUCUGGUCGAAGGCUGAGCCGUCUUCCUUCAGGCUUGGGUAACCCAGGGCGAUGUCUGCCGGGUCUAGCUCCGGCAGGAAUGCUUUGGCCCGGCUCAGCGCGGCGAUUGCUCCGGCUCUCGUGGAGGCCCGUCGUAGCUCCUGGAUCCGUUGCGGUAGAAUAGCGAGCCGACACAGGACUUCAGCCAGAUGAGUUGGCACCUCGUUGGAUAGGGCCACCACAGCUAAGGCGCGCUGUGACCCGGUGUAGAGCUGUUCCACCAGGGUGUACACGGCCUUUAACUUGGUGACCACGCUCUGGUUGUGGUUGGCACUCCUGGGACCUGUUUAACAAGAUCAGAUAAGCCGGUGACAAGGAUGAAUCAUGACAUAUACAGACUUGAUGAAAGCCGGUGAAGCGACUUACCGAAGAUAGCAGCCACCAUUUGGGAAACCUGGCUCUUUAGGCCGGAGAGCUCGGCGGUCUUCUCAGCGAGAGCCUUCUCCGCCUGUUCCGCCCGGGUCACCAGUGCGGCCUUCUCUUCGACCCAGGCUUUCCUCUCAGCGUCAAACUCGGUCUUUAAUUUUUCUUGAGUGGCGAUGCUGGAUACAAACUUGGCGUUUGCCUUCGGGUCUCCAUCUCCUGCAUCUUCAGCCGGCUCUUGAGAUCCGCAAGAUCCGCCUCUAGUUUCUUGCCAACAGCCUGCAUAUAUUUCCGGGUUAGUUAACAGUCAUUAUAUAAGUCCCAAGCGUUUUCCAAGCAAAGACACUUGGCACUUGGGGGCUAAUGCAUAUUGAACGUAUCUAUCUACAUACUGCCGGCUCAGUUGAGUAAGCCGGAACCUAAGUCUACAACAUAUUCAAGUAUAAGUCGUCGACUUGGGGCUAGCAUGGCAAAGGUAAAUAUGCAGCAAAGUAAGAAGACAGCAGAAGGAUACCUCAGAUUUUUGUUGGAUCUGGUUGACCAUGGCAACCUCGGCGUCCCGGCUCUUGUGUACUUGGCUGAUGUAGCCAGAGACGAGCUCUCCAAUGCUCAAGUCGGUGUAGCCGGAGAGGUCCAGGUUCACCCGGUGGGGCUGCAGCAACUCCCCCUUCGCGGAGCAUUUGGCCAACGCGGUCGGUCUCCCCGGCUCAACGAAUUCCGUCCGGGUGAUUACCACGUCCGGGUCGUCUGCUGGUGGAGCUGAGCCGGAGGCCUCCGGGUUAACCGAAGCUUCGGUCGUUACCUUGGUAGUCGGAGCAGGGGCCUCAGGCGCCGUGUCCAUUGGAGUGGUGGCUUCGGGGGUGGAGGCAGCUGGCGGCUCUUGAGCCGUCGCCUCCGGGUCAGGCAAGUCUGGCACUCCAGCUGACCUGGUCUUCUUUGCUCUUUUGGUGAGCUUUGCCUGGGCACUGAAAAGACAGAAGUGUUAGGCACACAAAGAGUAAGUACAGAUAAAGAUAAUGUAAGAAGAUCGUUGUUACCCGGGCGCAGUCUUGAAGGCCGGCAGAUUUGACUGCAUGGAGUCACCCGAAGAGGGGGAGGUCUCCUGAUAAUUGGAGUCAGAAGAGUUGAGUGGCUGACGGAUAACACCCGCCAACGGAUGAAAAGGGUACAGGUGAGAAAAAACCUCAGUGCGACGCUUCCUUGUUGCGUCGGGUAACCCGGCGGAGAGGUCAGUGUCCUUGCGGGCCCGGGUGUGACGCCGGCUUUCAUGAACCUGCUGCUUCAAAAGAAAUUGAGGGUCUUGAUGAGCUAACGGUUGUGAAAAGCUUACUUUCCGGGUUACUCUUCGGACUUUCAGCUAUGGCAAAAGCUCCGAGUCGGAGGAAAGUGACAUUACCUCUUCAACCACCGGGUUACUGGCGCCGGUGUCAUCCUGUCAAUGAGCAAAGUGUUGAUAAGGCGGACAGCAACAAACAACAAAUAUAGCAAGAAUUUAAAGGUUUAAGGGUUACCUCUGACUCGGAGCUGUCGCUUAAUUGCAUUAGCUCCGAAGCAGUGGGUCGGCUUCCCUUUUUGCGAGGGGCGGCUUUCUUGGCGGCUUUCUUCGCCUUCCUGGCCUUCUUGGCCGCUUCAUGGUCAUAUUUGACCCGCCAGAAUUUGUCAUCAGCCUGAAAGAUACAAUGAUUGAUUCUUAAAACAGUUCAGAUGAAGGUAAUAUGCAGACGAAGAUAAAAGUUAAAGUCAGCGGCUUACCGCUGGGGCUGGAUUGGUCUUGCAGAAGGGGGCUAACCCGGUUCUUCCGCAGUCUGCCAGGCUCUCGUUUAGAAGAGCCUUGGUCUCUUCCUCUGCAACGUCUUCUGGAAGAUCAUUGCGACUGUGCCUCUGCGGGUCAUCCUUUCGCCCGGUGUACUCACGCAUUAAGCCGGGGCGGCGGCUCAAUGGGAUCACCUGCCAUGAGAUCCAGACCCGGACCAGGUCAAUUCCGUUCAGACCGUUGCCUAGCAGGGCCUUGAUCUUAUUGAUAGUUGGAAGCAGAGGCUGGCGUUCCGCUGCAGUCAGUUUGUCCGACAGCGGAUUAGUCGGCUCUAGACGUGUUGGGCGAAAGCCGGGCAGCGGGUUCUCGUCAGCCGGGGACGUAUCUUGGCAGUAGAACCAAGUCAUAUUCCAGUCCUUGGGGUGGCUCGGCAGCUCUGCGUAAGGGAAAAGACAGUCCCUACGCCGCUGGAUGGAGAUGCCGCCUAACUCCAGACUUGGCCCGUUGGCACACUCAUUUCGGCGGUUUAAGUAGAACAGUUCUCUGAAAAGCAGCAAACUGGGUUCUUCUCCAAGGUACACUUCGCAAAAGACUUGGAAGUUGCAGAUGUUGGAUACGGAGUUGGGUCCUAUAUCCUGAGGCCGUAGGUCAAAGAAGUUGAGCACGUCCCUGAAAAACUUUGAGCCGGGCGGUGCGAAGCCCCGGCUCAUAUGGUCUGCGAAGAUCACUACCUCCCCGUCCCUUGGCUGUGGUCUCUCUUCCGACGGGUCAGGGGCACGGUAGGACAUGAUUUCCUUCUUAGGCAAAUAUCCGGACUUAACGAAAUUGGCCAGGGUCUCGUCGGUGACGUUGGACCUCAUCCAGUUGCAAGUGAUGGGAGCCUUGGGAGGCAUGGUGAAGGUUGGUGGUCUAUGAUAAAGAGAAAAGUGUCCGGGUUAAUUAUAAGCCGGAGAUCUAUCGUUCGAACUAAGAUGGCGGCUUAUGAAGGGGACUAAUGAUAUAUAUUCAGAUACGGUGGGUUAGUUAAGCCGGAAGAUUCUACAGAGCAUGGUUCUUUUUAAACCGGAAAGUUCUACGGCGCAUGUUUUCUUUAAGCCGGAAAUGUAAGCCGCCAAGAUUCAAUGGUUGCAGUUUUUACUAAGUGUGGUAAAACAGGUUUCGCAUACUAUCGUAACUUUUUUGGAUCAAAAUGGUCGGAGCAAAGAAAAUGUUCUAGACCUAAAAUGCGGACGCAGGGGAGUUCUUGAGCUCGAAGGAGAUCUUAUGCAGUGGAAAGAAGUGUGUUUUGCAGGUGAAAUGGGUAAUAAACAACUACUGCAGCAAGUAUAUACAUAUCUACGAUCAAACAAGGGUGGCAACUACAAGAACUACUGAGGCCCGCGGACAAUGGCGAAGAACACAGAUGAACUGUUUGAACUCUACCGCAGAUCUGUUCUAGCAAGGCAGAGGAGACUCACCGGAGUUGGAGAAGAGCGGAAGUCGCCGCCGUUUAUCUGGUCCGAGUCAGGGUGAUGUAGCGGCCGGGUUGAUGAAGAUCAGGGGCGCGACGGCGGCGGCAGUGGCAGAGCUCGGGCAGAGGAGCGAUGGCGCGAGGAGGAAGAAGAGAGCGUGAGAAGAGCCCGUUGGGCCGGCCUAUUUAUAAGGCGAGGUCAUAAGUGGGCGCGAGAUUCAAGGAGACCACGGCGUGGUUAUCUCCCCCCCCACGACGCCUCGAUUUUCGGAAUGACAGUAAAGGCAAAGAUCCGUUGCGGAUUUGGCGGGAUAAAAAACGGACUUAAUGGAGGAUGACGUCACAGCGGAUUAUCCGGAGUCCAGAGGAUGACGUCACUCCGGGUUAUGGCCUUCACAUGAAUGGUAAGCCGGAGAUUUUUUCUGUCAGAAGAGUUGAAGAUUGACAUGAGCCGGCUCAAAUCAAUCUGGGGCCUAAUGUUGAGGAUAUAGACCUUAGAGUCACCCGCCAGGAGGGGCCGGGUUACUCAUACGGUCGUUGCCAGAAGCCAGGAGCCAAGUUUCCAGACGAUGGGCCAGAUAUGGGCUGAGACCCGGAUAUGGCUUAAGGCCCGUAGUUAAAAUCAUUAUUAUAGUAGAACUUGUAGCGUAAGGCAAGUAUAGUUUAGAGUCCGAGCCGGACACUCUUAUGAGCCGGCCGGGACUCUAAAGGCUGCUGGGCGUGUUCCUCCCUAUAUAAAGGGACGACCCGGCAGCGGUUUGAGGGCGACAACAAUCUCAUCGAGAGCCGGGAAUAGCUGUUUAGCUCCUGGCGAUCGUAACCCCAAUCAAUAUCACCCCAAACUGGACGUAGGCUUUUACCUUCACCGUAAGGGGCCGAACCAGUAUAAACCCUCGUGUUCCUUGUCCCGCAUAACCCCUUCAAGCUUCCUAGUUGCGAUGGCUCCACGACUAAGUCCUAGCUCAAGGGCAUCUGCCGUGACAAUUCCACGACAGGGGGUAUGAACCAUAGAGAAGUUGGAAUACAGUAGGUUUAACACCAAUAUAAAUAAAGAAUGAGUUCAUUACAGUACCUUAAGGUGGUGGUUUAUUUUCUUAUACUAAUGGAGUUCAUGAGAUUUUCUGUUUAAGUUUUGUGUUGUGAAGUUUUAAGUUUUGAGUAAAGAUUUGAUGGAUUUUGGAAUAAGGAGUGGCAAGAGCCUAAGCUUGGGGAUGCCCAAGGCACCCCAAGGUAAAAUUCAAGGACAACCAAAAGCCUAAGUUUGGGGAUGCCCCGGAAGGCAUCCCCUCUUUCGUCUUCGUCUAUCGAUAACUUUACUUGAGGCUAUAUUUUUAUUCACCACAUGAUAUGUGUUUUGCUUGGAGCGUCUUCUAUGAUUAGAGUCUUUGCUUUUUAGUUUACCACAAUCAUCCUUGCUGUACACACCCUUUGGAGAGACACGCAUGAAUCGGAAUUUAUUAGAAUACUCUUUGUGCUUCACUUAUAUCUUUUGGACUAGAUAAUUUCGCUCUAGUGCUUCACUUGUAUCUUUUUAGAGCACGAUGGUGGUUUUAUUUUGUAGAAAUUAUUGAUCUCUCAUGAUUCACUUAUAUUAUUUUGAGAGUCUUUUAGAACAGCAUGGUAAUUUGCUUUGGCUAUAAAAUUAGUCCUAAUAUGAUGAGCAUCCAAGAUGGGUACAAUAAAAACUAUCAUAUAAAGUGCAUUGAAUACUAUGAGAAGUUUGAUUCCUUAUGAUUGUUUUGAGAUAUGAAGAUGGUGAUAUUAGAGUCAUGCUAGUUGAGUAGUUGUGAAUUUGAGAGAUACUUGUGUUAAAGUUUGUGAUUCCCGUAGCAUGCACGUAUGGUGAACCGUUAUGUGAUGAAGUCGGAGCAUGAUUUAUUUAUUGCUUGUCUUCCUUAUGAGUGGCGGUCGGGGACGAUCGAUGGUCUUUUCCUACCAAUCUAUCCCCCUAGGAGCAUGCGCGUAGUACUUCUUUUCGAUAACUAAUAGCUUUUUGCAAUAAGUAUGUGAGUUCUUUAUGACUAAUGUUGAGUCCAUGGAUUAUGCGCACUCUCACCCUUCCACCAUUGCUAGCCUCUCUAAUACCGUGCACCUUUCGCCGGUAUCAUACACCCACCAUACACCAAAACAGCCACCAUACCUACCUAUUAUGGCAUUUCCAUAGCCAUUCCGAGGUAUAUUGCCAUGCAACUUUCCACCAUUCCGUUUAUUAUGACACGCUCCAUCAUUGUCAUAUUGCUUUGCAUGAUCAUGUAGUUGACAUCGUAUUUGUGGCAAAGCCACCAUUCAUGAUUUUUCAUACAUGUCACUCUUGAAUCAUUGCACAUCCCGGUACACUGCCGGAGGCAUUCACAUAGAGUCAUAUUUUGUUCUAAGUAUUGAGUUGUAAUUCUUGAGUUGGAAGUAAAUAAAAGUGUGAUGAUCAUCAUUAUUAGAGCAUUGUCCCAGUGAGGAAAGGAUGAUGGAGACUAUGAUUCCCCCACAAGUUAGGACGAGACUCCGGGCGAAAAAAUAAAAUAAAAAAAAGAGGCCAUAAAAAAAAGAGAAAGGCCCAAAUAAAAAAAAUAAAAAGAGAGAAGGGACAAUGUUACUAUCCUUUUACCACACUUGUGCUUCAAAGUCGCACGAUGAUCUUCAUGAUAGAUUGUCUCCUAUGUUGUCACUUUCAUAUAUUAGUGGGAAUUUUACAUUAUAGAACUUGGCUUGUAUAUUCCAAUGAUGGGCUUCCUCAAAUUGCCCUAGGUAUUCGUGAGCAAGCGAGUUGGAUGCACACCCACUUAGUUUCUUUUGUUGAGCUUUCAUACACUUAUAGCUCUAGUGCAUCCGUUGCAUGGCAAUACCUACUCACUCACUGUCGGGGGAAACGACACCUAUGGGAUCAUAGAGAUCCCUUCUACGGUUGGCGGGCGCGAGGUUGUGCAAGGAGCGGGUCUAGUAGUUAGCACAAGGGGAUUUAUCCAGGUUCGGACCGCGGAGAUGCGUAAUACCCUAGUCCUGCUUUUGUGUAUAUCUGAGUGUUCUUGAGCUCUUGAACUAGCUACGGUGCCUGUCUAGCCCAAAAGAUCCGAAUCCUCCCUCAGUAUGCCUCGGGCCUCCUUUUAUAGUCAAAGGGGCUGCCACAGUGGCUCACAGGAGGUGGAAAGUAUAUACAGUAGUCGAGUCUAUCUCCUGGCAUCGUAGGACAAACACGUUUAAUGCGCUGCCGACGUGCCCUUCUUGCUUUAUCGGGGACGGCAAGGAAGCUCGUCCCAGCUGUCGCCGCCUCGCCUGGCCUCGACGCGCGUCUGAGCGGACGAGGCAUGUGGUGCCACGUUGGCUGGCUGCUGAGUUGGUGCGAUGGCAGAGUCUUCACGAAGAUCUGCAUGCCACCACGCAGGUGCUUGCUGAGUUGGCCUAGAGGCCGCACGUUGCCACGCAGGUGCUCGCCUAGUUGGUGGGCCGGCGGCUGUGAGGGAACGACGGUGGAGUCUUGGCUGGUGGGGGCCUGGCUGUGGCCCCACGGAUGUCUUUGGCAAGAGUCUUGCUGGGGCCCCGGCAAGGGUCUUGUCGCGGCGUUGUAGGCGUACCCGGCAAGGGUCUUGCCGGGGGGGUCUCGUGGGUACCCUCGGCAAGGAUCUUGCCAAGGAUCUUCGUCUUCGGAUUCUCAUCUAAUCUUGUAUGUUCUUUGUCUUCACAAAGAUCUGCAUGCCACCAUGGAGGCGCCUCCCGAGCUUUGGUUCCAAUGUGGUUGAGGGCGUCGGAACUCUUAGGCUCAAGGGUGGCAGCCCUGCUGGCGUUGGGCAAGUUGCCCCGGCAAGGUUCUUGCCGGGGCACGGCUCUGGUCGUCUUGUGUCUUUGCUUCCUCUGCCCCGCCUAGCGUGGCCAUCGGUCUCGUGGCUGCAACUGCCCGCGCACAAGUAAAGGGGUACAAAUAGGCCCCCUACUUUUGUACACCGACAGGAUGUUGGACAUAUGCCCUAGAGGCAAUAAUAAAUGGUUAUUAUUAUAUUUCUUUGUUCAUGGUAAUCGUCUAUUGUUCAUGCUAUAAUUGUGUUAUCCGGAAAUCGUAAUGCAUGUGUGAAUACAUAGACCACAACGUGUCCCUAGUAAGCCUCUAGUUGACUAGCUCGUUGAUCAACAGAUAGUCAUGGUUUCCUGACUAUGGACAUUGGAUGUCAUUGAUAAUGGGAUCACAUCAUUAGGAGAAUGAUGUGAUGGACAAGACCCAAUCCUAAGCAUAGCUCAAAGAUCGUGUAGUUCGUUUGCUAGAGCUUUUCCAAUGUCAAGUAUCUUCUCCUUAGACCAUGAGAUCGUGCAACUCUCGGAUACCGUAGGAGUACUUUGGGUGUGCCAAACGUCACAACGUAAUUGGGCGACUAUAAAGGUACACUACGGGUAUCUCCGAAAGUGUCUGUUGGGUUGGCACGGAUCGAGACUGGGAUUUGUCACUCCGUAUAACGGAGAGGUAUCUCUGGGCCCACUCGGUAAUGCAUCAUCAUAAUGAGCUCAAUGUGGCUAAGGAGUUAGUCACGGGAUCAUGCAUUGCGGUACGAGUAAAGAGACUUGCCGGUAACGAGAUUGAACAAGGUAUUGGGAUACCGACGAUCGAAUCUCGGGCAAGUAACAUACCGAUUGACAAAGGGAAUUGUAUACGGGAUUGAUUGAAUCCUCGACAUCGUGGUUCAUCCGAUGAGAUCAUCGUGGAACAUGUGGGAGCCAACAUGGGUAUCCAGAUCCCGCUGUUGGUUAUUGACCGGAGAGGCGUCUCGGCCAUGUCUGCAUGUCUCCCGAACCCGUAGGGUCUACACACUUAAGGUUCGGUGACGCUAGGGUUGUAGAGAUAUGAGUAUGCGGAAACCCGAAAGUUGUUCGGAGUCCUGGAUGAGAUCCCGGACGUGACGAGGAGUUCCGGAAUGGUCCGGAGGUGAAGAAUUAUAUAUAGGAAGUCAAGUUUCGGCCACCGGGAAAGUUUCGGGGGUCACCGUAUUGUACCGGGACCACCGAAAGGGUCCCGGGGGUCCACCUAUCCCGGAGGGCCCCAUGGGCUGAAGUGGGAAGGGAACCAGCCCUUAGUGGGCUGGGGCACCCCCCAUGGGCCUUCCCCCUGCGCCUAGGGUUGGAAACCCUAGGGUGGGGGGGGGGCGCCCCACUUGCCUUGGGGGGCAAGUCUCCCCCCUGGCCGCCGCCCCCCCAUGCAGAUGGGUUCCUGGCCGGCGCCCCCCUCCCAGGGGGCCUAUAUAAAGGGGGGGAGGGAGGGCAGCAACACAACAGCCUUUGGCGCCUCCCUCCUCCCCUGCAACACCUCUCCCUCUCGCAGAAGCUCGGCAAAGCCCUGCCGAGAUCCCGCUACAUCCACCACCACGCCGUCGUGCUGCUGGAUCUCCAUCAACCUCUCCUUCCCCCUUGCUGGAUCAAGAAGGAGGAGACGUCGCUGCUCCAUACGUGUGUUGAAUGCGGAGGUGCCGUCCGUUCGGCACUCGGUCAUCGGUGAUUUGGAUCACGGCGAGUACGACUCCAUCAACCUCGUUCAUUGGAACGCUUCCACUCGCGAUCUACAAGGGUAUGUAGAUGCACUCUUUCCCCUUGUUGCUAGUAUACUCCAUAGAUGGAUCUUGGUGAGCGUAGGAAAAUUUUAAAAUUCUGCUACGAUCCCUAACACAGGAGCCCCCGGGCCUGAGCCACAUAUAAGCGCAGAGCGUUAUUGGGCCGGGCCCAGAACAGUGCGCGGACGCGUGCGUGCCGGAGUUUUACCGCAGUAACUCCCCUUGCCCGUUGCGCUUCCCCACGACCCACGUUGAAUGCGCGACGUGGGGGUCGUGCAUGACAUGGGGGUCAUGCGUGGGGCGGUUCCUGCACGCGUGCGUCACAUCGUGGUAAAUGGUAAAGAGGCGGCCCGCGCCUUCCCCAUAAAAAGGAAAAACCGCAGGCGCGCUGCUUGUUUACCCUCUAUGCCUCUUCCAAUCUCAGAACUGCCAUUCCCCUUUUCUUUCUCCAGCGAAAGAUUCGAAGCUCUCGCCUCUGCUUGCUGCCACUGCGCCCCCGUUGCUCUUGAUCCUUCGCCAUCUCCCAGCCGCCAUGGCACCCAAAACCGGUAAGGGCAAGGGAGCGGCCAAGUACGCCGGGGAGAAGGAGGCGCCGGAGAGCGAGUCGGCGGCGCGGCGGAUGCAGCUCGCCUACUUCCCUUUGACGAUCAAUGCGGUCCACCUCAAGGACUACCUUUUGCCCCUAUAGGGGAGGAAGACAAUGGGGCACCCUGCCACGCGCGUCGUUCCCGCCGAUUUCGCCAAGGCCGGCCCAAAUCGGUACACCUUCUUCAUCAAUUUCUUCUCUUGCGGGCUCUGCCCCCUUUUUCUGGCUUCUUCAACGACGUCAUGCACACCUACGACUUCCAUCUUCUGGAUCUUACGCCGAAUGCCGUGGCGUGCAUGGCUUUCUUUGCCCACCUCUGUGAGGGCUUUGCCGGAGUGCUCCCCAGCAUGGCGCUCUUCCGCCACUCCUUCUCCCCUCGCCUUCAGCUAGGGGGCGCCAUCUCCGGCUGCAUCACCUGGAUCCUGAGGACCCAGGAGAAGGGCACGUAUCCGAAGGGUGCUCAGAAGGAGAGGUGGGAGGAAUGGCGGAGCCGGUGGUGCUGGAUCGAGGACGACCCGCAGGAGUUCUGCCGGGUUCGUCAGAGCCCGCCGACCCGCCGCCGGGACUGGAGUGAUCUCGACGCCAAUGACGAGAAGCUCACGGUCGCCACCACCAGGAUCCAUCGCCUCACCAUGGCCGGGCUCACCCUCGAGAUGAUCGGGGCCGACUUCAUCUGGCGCCGAAUUGCCCCGCUGCACAACAAGGGGAGGCCGGCCUGGGGUUUCAGGAACGCGGCCGACAUCAUGAGGCUCCGCCCUGGUCUGAAGCACAACUUUAUGAUGAUGGGGCACGCCCACUUUUGCCGAAGGCUCUUUCAGCUCAACGUGGAUGGCGACGGCAGAGUUGAGAGGACCGGCAGGGCCGCGAAGGCUGGCAAGGCCGUCAAGGGGCCCUUGUUUGGGUUGCCGGCGGGAGUGGUCCCGCUGAGCAACAACUCUUGCCAAUCCGCCAUCAUCGCCAUGAUGCCGGACUUCAAUGCGCAUGGCCUUGACCCGGCCUGGGCCGAGCCGCCAGCAGAGAAGGUGCAGGAGUUCUUCGACACUUUUUCGGAGAGCUAUGUCUGUGACGAACCGCUGCUCAUCCAAGACACCACCAAGGCAGAGCUGGACUACAUCACCGCGAGGGUGGCGGAUGCGGCGCUCGCUAGGGAGGCCGGCAGCGCUGGCACCGCGGAGGAUGAGGCCGACGCGGCUGCGGAGGAGAGGGAGAUCACCCAGUGGGCAGAGUCUGCCGGGGAGGCCAGCGGCGCCGGCGCCGAGGCCCCCUUGUCGAAGACGCGGGCAACGAGUCGUCCGAAGAGGAGGUCGAGGCGAACGACCCCCCGGCCACAGGGAGGCGGUGCGUCCUGCGACGGGCCAGCUCUGGCGAGCCGGUUGGGCCUGGCAGGACCAUGCCGUGGCAGCCGGCCCAGGAGCAGCUCGUGCGUCAGACGAGGGCGAUGAAGGUCGCGGCAACGAAGAAGGCGGUGAAGGCCGCGACGGUGAAGAGGACAACGACUGCUUCCUCCUCGUCCAAGCGGCACCGGACCCCAUCCCCUUAUCCUCCUCCCUCGGACAGCACCUUGGAGGCCGAGUUUGACCUUGAAUCUUUUAGCCCGGCGAGGAAGAGGAAGCUAGUGGAGGAGGAGGUGGAGGACGAGUAAGUAUUUCGCCCCCCACAUCAUCUCCUGACCUUACACCUGUGUUAUCCUCAUUUGACUUGAUGUUGUCUUGACAGGGACGCGGAGACGCUGGCCCAGAGGGUGGCGAAGAGGGCCAAAACCUCGACGGGCGACGGGUCCCCGGCGGGUACUUCGCGCAUGCCGGUGUUGGUGGAUAGCAGCCCGGACAGCAGCCCCUGGCGUAGCCCCCGCUUCAGCCCCCAGCGUGAGUCCAUCACUCACUCCUCCACUGAUGAACAUUGGGGUGUGAAUUCUCGACACUGACCUUGCCGGGUUCGCAGGAGGAGAACGGCAGCAGGAGGAGCCGCCGAGGGCCACUCCCAACACACCGCCCCCUCGACUACGGCGCCCAGAGGGGCGUCCCUGGCAAGGGCAUCCACCACCGAGCCCACACAUAUGGAGGAGGAGGGGGCGAGCUCGGGUGCCGAUGGUUCUGCCCCGGCAACGAAUGUUGGCGGGGAGGGCGCCACUUCUUCCCAGCCUGGUGCGGGUAAGUUGUUUGCUUUCUGCCCCUGUUCUUUCUUAUUCUUUUUGAACCUUGACCUUUCCCCUGUCUUAUUCCACUUCUUGGUAUCCAGGCCCUUCGUCAGUGGACCGGGAGGACAUUGACACCGUGAUUGAAGAGGUCGCCAGGGACGCCGAGGCUGAGGCAGACAAGAUCGCCGCCUAGGAGGCAGCCAAAACCACCGCUGAGGAUGCCGCCAAGGGGCCUACCGGGGAGGCCGACAAGGCUGCUGCCGAGGGGGCCGACAAGGGGCCUGCCGGAGAGGCCGGCAAGGCCGCUGCCGAGGAGGGGGUGGUAGACGACCAACCUUCCUCUGCCGCAUCUGGCUCGGGCAAUGUGACGCCCCGGAUCCGAUACGCCAGGUGUCUGCCAGUUAUUCGCUGUCGUUGCCAUGUCAUCUGCGUGCGUGUUGCAUUUUGCCAUGUCAUCAUCUUCAUUUCAUAUCAUGUCAUCAUGUGCUUUGCAUUUGCAUACGUGUUCGUCUCUUGAAUCCGAGCAUUUUCCCCGUUGUCCGUUUUGCAAUCCGGCGCUCCUAUCUCCUCCGGUGCACCCCUUUUGUCUUCUUCUCGUGUGCGAGUGUCAAACCUUCUCGGAAUGGGCCGAGGCUUGUCAAGUGGCCUUGGUAUACCACCGGUAGACCACCGGUCAAGUUUCGUUCCAUUUGGAGGUCGUUUGGUACUCCAACGGUUAACCGGGUAACCGCGAAGUCCGUUUUGGUAUUGCAGCAAAACCCCCCUUCAAACAGUCCCAAAACCCCUCUAAGUCCAUGCCAUGCUCUCGGUCGUUUGAUCACGAUCGCGUGGGCGAAAACCGCACCUCGUUUGGACUCUCCUAGCUCCCUCUACCUAUAUAUGUGUGCCCUCCCGAGAUUCGCGGAUGAAACCCUAAAUUUUCCUCCCUCACCGCACCGGACAUGUCCGUCCCGGACCGGACGAACUGCGCCGCCCACCUCGUCCACUCGCCGCCCGCCACCUGUCGCCUCCGCCGCCUCCCUCCACCGCGGCCCGCGGGGCCCGAAGCAGGCCCGCGCNNNNNNNNNNNNNNNNNNNNNNNNNNNNNNNNNNNNNNNNNNNNNNNNNNNNNNNNNNNNNNNNNNNNNNNNNNNNNNNNNNNNNNNNNNNNNNNNNNNNNNNNNNNNNNNNNNNNNNNNNNNNNNNNNNNNNNNNNNNNNNNNNNNNNNNNNNNNNNNNNNNNNNNNNNNNNNNNNNNNNNNNNNNNNNNNNNNNNNNNNNNNNNNNNNNNNNNNNNNNNNNNNNNNNNNNNNNNNNNNNNNNNNNNNNNNNNNNNNNNNNNNNNNNNNNNNNNNNNNNNNNNNNNNNNNNNNNNNNNNNNNNNNNNNNNNNNNNNNNNNNNNNNNNNNNNNNNNNNNNNNNNNNNNNNNNNNNNNNNNNNNNNNNNNNNNNNNNNNNNNNNNNNNNNNNNNNNNNNNNNNNNNNNNNNNNNNNNNNNNNNNNNNNNNNNNNNNNNNNNNNNNNNNNNNNNNNNNNNNNNNNNNNNNNNNNNNNNNNNNNNNCGUGCCCCGGCCGGUCCCCUCCUUCCCCGGCGGCCUCCCGAGCUCCGGCGCCCUUCUGCUCCGGCGAGCCGGCCCCGCCUCGGACUUGCAGCGCCAGAUCCAGUGAGAACCCCCCCGCGUUGACUUUUUCCCUUAGCCCCGAAAUAUCUCCAAGUCCCCAGAUUUUGUUAUUAUAUGUGCAUGUUCAACUGUGUGUAACUUCAUGCAUGUAGCUCCAAUUCACGCGUAUAAUAUUUCAAAUUGUUCGCCUCGUGAUGCUCUUCAUUUUGUUCAAUUGCACCAUGCUCAUUUGAGUCCAUCUUGAUGCCCAAAUCAUCGUUGCAAGAGUGCUAGUUGCUGUUAAUCUCUGGUUCUUAUCAGAACUUGGAGAUUUGUCAUUUUUGUAUCAUUUAUUCUGUGCAUCUUUUGAGCAUGAGCUCUACAUGUGUUUUGAAGUAUGCCAUGCCAUCUUUCCAGUGGUUUAGUCCAUGUAUUUUUGUGAUCCCUGUGGUGACUAGCACAAGCAUGCAAAGUAGGCCCCAUAAUAUGUCUGAUUUCAGGGACUUAGUGAUUUCUCCAAGUCCUUGUCUGCUGUAAUUUUGUUGCCAUGUAAACUUGAUGUUACAGAGAGAUCCAUGCAUAUUUUGGAGAUGUUCAUUAAGGAUGUUUUGUAGAUAUAGUUGUAAUUGAUCCAUUCCUGUCCUUGUUUGCAAUUAUGGGGUGCCAUAGCAUGACUCAAUCUUGCUCUACUUUUGCUAUAAAAUAUUUCUGGCAGAUUCUUAACAUGACAUGCAUUUUCGCCAAGCUUAUUGUAAUUGAUCCAUGCAUGCUAUGCUAUUGCCCUUGCCAUGGUUAGCUUCAUAAACAUGCCAUCAUGCUGUAGGUGUGCUUGGUUUGUCAUGCGUUGCUCUGUAGUGAGUGCAUCAAGCUCACAAAGAGGCCUACAUAUUAAUAUUUCUGCCAUGCUCUGUUUUCUGCUAAGUCUGAAACCUGUUAACGAAACUUGCUAUGUUUACAUGCUUUCCAUCAUAUCUUCUGGUCCUUUUUAGCUUAUGGUCAGUAAGAGACAUGUUUUAUAUGCUUUGAGUAGAUUCAUUCCAUGCCUUUCUUUGCUAUGUUAAGUUCAUGUAGCAUGUUGUUAUCAUGCUCUGAACAUUGCAACCUGAUGUUAUUUCUGCCAUGUCCAGUACUUUCACCAAGUCUGUGAAUCUGUUAUUAUUUUGCAAUCUUGCCAUGUCCUUUUGCGCAUGUUCUAGUGAUUUCUGGAGAUAGCUCAGUGUUCAUGUUUUGUUGUGCUUUACCUGUACAUCUUGUCCAUGUCUUUUGUUUAUAUGUUGAGUUGCUGUAGCAUAUUGUUUUGAUGCUUGCAUUAUGCCUAGUUGCUGUUUUGGCAGAUUGUUGCUAUGCCUUGUUUGGAGUGUAUGUGUUGCACCGUUGCUCCGUUUUGAGCGUGCUCCUUAUGAAACUUGCUUAGAUUUGCAUGUAGCUUCAUUUUAUCAUGUUGCAUCAUUGUCGUGAGGUGUUUGCUUGAUGGUUGUAUGCUUUUUGCAUCAAUGCCAUGUUUAUCUUGUCUUGCUCAUAUCUUCUAGGUCGUAACUCCGAAUCUAAUGAACCUUAUAUGUAACUUGACUAGAAUUUCGUGUAGAUCAUCAUGGUGCUCUUUAACUUGCUGUUUAACAACUUCAACUUAAUGCUUGUUCAGUUCUGGACUAAUUUCGAAAUUUGCAUAUGAGGACUUACCGGAAUUGUUAUAUGUUGUUUCCGGCCUCAUUUAAACUUGCCUGGAUGUGUUGUUCUUGUAUGCAUCAUCUCUUGUCAUGAGUAGCUUCAUAUAGCUUUGUCAUGCAUCAUUCUUGGUUGAGCAUCAUGUCUUGUUCAUGUGUGGUGUGUUUACCUUGUUGUGUGCUCCUUCUCGAUAGUUCCCGUGUCGUUGCGAUCGUGAGGAUUCGUUCGUCUUCGUGGCUUCAUCUUCUUCAUGGAUUCGUUCUUCUUCCUAGCGGGAUUUCAGGCAAGAUGACCGUCACCUUGGAUCUCAUUACUAUCAUUGCUAUGCUAGUUGCUUCGUUCUAUCGCUUUGCCGCGCUACCCAUUCAUUUGCUCCUCUAGCCUCCUAAUUGCCAUGAACCUCUAACCUUUGACACCCUUCCUAGCAAACCGUUGUUUGGCUAUGUUACCGCUUUGCUCAGCCCCUCUUAUAGCGUUGCUAGUUGCAGGUGAAGAUGAAGAUUGCUCCAUGUUGGAUUAUGUUUAUGUUGGGAUAUCAUAAUAUCUCUUAUUUUAUUAAUGCAUCUAUAUAUCUUGGUAAAGGGUGGAAGGCUCGGCCUUAUGCCUGGUGUUUUGUUCCACUCUUGCCGCCCUAGUUUCUGAUAUACCGGUGUUAUGUUCCCGGAUUUUUGCGUUCCUUACACGGUUGGGUGAUUUAUGGGACCCCCUUGAUAGUUCGCCUUGAAUAAAACUCUUCCAGCAAGGCCCAACCUUGGUUUUACCAUUUGCUCAGCCUAUUUCUUUUCCCUAGGGAGUCGCUCUCUCAAGGGUCAUCUUAUUUUAACCCCCCCGGGCCAGUGCUUCUCUAAGUGUUGGUCCGAACUGAGUAGACUGCGGGGCCACCUCGUGGAAACUCGAGGUCUGGUUUUACUCGUAGGAUGUCUCAUCCGGUGUUGCCCUGAGAACGAGAUAUGUGCAGCUCCCAUCAGGAUGUCGGCGCAUCGGGCGGCUUUGCUGGUUUUGUUUUACCAUUGUCGAAAUGUCUUGUAACCGGGAUUCCGAGACUGAUCGGGUCUUCCCGGGAGAAGGAAUAUCCUUCGUUGACCGUGAGAGCUUAUCAUGGGCUAAGUUGGGACACCCCUGCAGGGUAUUAUCUUUCGAAAGCCGUGCCCGCGGUUAUGUGGCAGAUGGGAAUUUGUUAAUAUCCGGUUGUAGAGAACUUGACACUUGACCUUAAUUAAAACGCAUCAACCGCGUGUGUAGCCGUGAUGGUCUCUUCUCGGCGGAGUCCGGGAAGUGAACACGGUUUCUGGGUUAUGUUUGCCGUAAGUAGGAGUUCAGGAUCACUUCUUGAUCAUUGUUAGUUUCACGACCGUUCCUUUGCUUCUCUUCUCGCUCUUAUUUGCAUAAGUUAGCCACCAUAUCAUGCUUAGUCGCUGCUGCAACCUCACCACUUUAUCCUUUCCUUUCCCCUUAAGCUUUGCUAGUCUUGAUACCCAUGGUAAUGGGAUUGCUGAGUCCUCGUGGCUCACAGAUUACUACAUCACCGGUUGCAGGUUCAGGUUAUGUGAUGAUCAUGACGCGAGAGCGAUGUUCGCUUGUUUUGGAGUCCUUCUUCUGCUUCUUCUUCGAUCAGGGGAUAGGUUCCAGGUCGGCAGCCUGGGCUAGCAGGGUGGAUGUCGUUUGAGUUUCUGUUCAUGUUUCAUCCGUAGUGGGAUGUUGAUCUUAUGUAUGAUGUGUUGAUGUAUUCUUGCGGCAUUUGUAUGCCCUGUAUGUAUCCCCAAAUAUUAUGUAAUGUUGAUGUAAUGAUAUCCACCUUGCAAAAGCGUUUCAAUAUGCGGUUCUAUCCUUGGUGGGGCCUUCGAGUCUCUUUAGGAUAGUAUCGCAUAUUGGGCGUGAUAGGCAAGUACUUGAAGGUGGUCGACGACCUAUUUGUCCACCUCCCGGGAACGGCGAGCACCAGGGCGGCAACCGAGGGGGAGGUGUUCGAUGACGAGGCGCUCGCGGCCGCCGGGCUUGAGGUUGUUGACGAACCGAGUGCCGGUGGCGGCAGUUCCCAAGAGGAGCAGCUCCUUCGGGCCAUGAGCGUCAACUUCCAAAAGCUCCAGGCGCUCCAUCGUGCCUGCCUGGACAAGGCAAAAUCCAGGAUGGCGGCGGUGGACAAGGCGGAGACGGAUCUCGAGGAGCGUGUCGCCAAGACGCAGACCUGGUUCCGCAAGGCCCAUGAAGAAAUGAAGGUUGCCGAGGAUCUGCUGGCUGAGCGCAAACAGGAGCUCAUCCUGAAGCAGGCUGAUGUCGAGAAAGCCCAGGAGGCGGCGAAGGAACAGGCCGCCAAGGACGAGGCCGCUCGGCACCAGCACCAGGCCGAGCUGAACUACCAGGAGGAGGACCUUGCCGCUCGUGAGGAGGCACUUGCCGCCACACUCCGCGGCAAGGAUGAGGAGGUCGAGAAGCUCGUCGCGCAGCGGACCCAGGAGCUGGAGCAGAGGCACAAGGAGGCACUCAAUGCUCAAGCCCUGGUCCAUGCCGGCAAGGUGAAGGAGCUGGAGGUGGAGCGGGAUGGGCUGAAAAAACAGGUCCUGGAGCUGACGAAGGAGAAGGACACAAUCAACAACGCUUUGGUGGAGGCGCAGGCCGCAGUCCUCGGCAAGGCCGAGCUGCUCUCCAAGGCCAAUGAAUCCAUCAAUGACCUGAAGCUGAAGCUGGAGGGCCUUGAGGGGACGCUUCCAGAGGUCAGGGCCCGGGAAGAGACCCUGACCAAGGACCUGGAGGAGGAGAGGCAGCUGCGGAGGAAUGAUGCCGCCGAACACAAGGAGUACGCGGAGGGCAUAAACCGUUGGGUCGAACGCCUCGCCGACGUCACCGGCAGGAUCACCACGAAGCUGGCUGCCAUGGGGAUGCCGAAUUUGAGGUACUCCCCGGAGCCGAACGUGAGCCCUAACGCCAAACUGACCCUGUUCUUCGAGGGCGUUCUUGGAGCCCUGGAGCAGCUCCGCUCUAACUGGGCAGCUUAUCUGGCCAACGAGUCCCGGAGGCUCUGCCGGGGCGCCCUGACUAAGGUGCUCACCAAGGUGGCGUUCUGGAACCCCACCGUCAACUUUGCCAACGCGUUGGAGAGCUUGCCGGAGGAGGCGGACCUCGUGGUGCUCAAGGAGCGUAUGAUGCCCAUCAUCGAUUGCGUCGACGGAGUUGAGAGGGUGGAGGGCCAGCGCCGAGACUAGGCACCCCAUUUCUCGUCACCGCUGCGAGUUCAAGACCAAGAAAAUUUUAUCUUAAGUUAGAACCGCAGCGAUUAUUUGAUGUAAUAUAACUCUGCAGUACUUUGAAAUGAUGCAUGUUAUUCUCCUGUUUGAUCUCUCUUUGUAUGUCCACCCUACGUUUAAUUGGAUAGGCUUGCCGGCGCGUAAACCCAGGCCACGGCGCCUUGAGGAUGGAUCCUCAAUAGCCUGUCGGGUGUGCUUGCUGCCAGGCAAACCACCUUACCGCUCUCAGCGCGGCCGCUUGAGCUGUUGAGCGGACUCGAAACAGAACAAGAGCAUUGCCAAUAGAGGAAAGGCCACCCUGCCGUUCUCGACGCGGCCGCUCGAACUGUUGAGCGGACUCGAAACAGGACAAAGGCGUUUCCAAUAGCGGAAGGGCCCCAUUACGUGCAGGUUUCCCACAUAAAGAGCGGGAUUUUCGAGCAGAAUAAUCUUAUAUAAAAAGGAAUUGCUUAAAGUUUUGCAUAACUUAGCUUUUCUGUCGUCGCGCGGACAGUCACUGUGUCUGCAAAUGAUGCCGCUCGAUCGGUCGUCUUCUUCCUUGGAGCAACGUCCACGAUGAAACCGCCAGGCUCAACCAGACCAGAUUUCCACAACUGCGCCCCUACCUGGCGCGCCAAAGAUGUCGGGGGAAACGACACCUAUGGGAUCACAGAGAUCCCUUCUACGGUUGGCGGGCGCGAGGUUGUGCAAAGAGCGGGUCUAGUAGUUAGCACAAGGGGAUUUAUCCAGGUUCGGGCCGCGGAGAUGCAUAAUACCCUAGUCCUGCUUUUGUGUAUAUCUGAGUGUUCUUGAGCUCUUGAACUAGCUACGGUGCCUGUCUAGUCCAAAAGAUCCGAAUCCUCCCUCAGUACGCCUCGAGCCUCCUUUUAUAGUCAAAGGGGCUGCCACAGUGGCUCACAGGAGGUGGAAAGUAUAUACAAUAGUCGAGUCAAUCUCCUGGCAUCGUAGGACAAACGCAUUUAAUGCGCUGCCGACGUGCCCUUCUUGCUUUAUCGGGGACGGCGAGGAAGCUCGUCCCAGCUGUCGCCGCCUCGCCUGGCCUUGACGCGCGUCUGAGUCGACGAGGCGUGUAGUGCCAUGCUGGCUGGCUGGCUACUGAGUUGGUGCGGUGGCAGAGUCUUCACGAAGAUCUGCAUGCCACCACGUGAUACGUCUCCAACGUAUCUAUAAUUUAUGAAGUAUUCAUGCUAUUAUAUAUAUUCUGUUUUGGAUGUUUAAUGGGCUUUAUUAUACACUUUUAUAUUAUUUUUGGGACUAACCUAUUAACCGGAGGCCCAGCCCAAAUUGCUGUUUUCUUGCCUAUUUUAGUGUUUCAAAGAAAAGGAAUAUCAAACGGAGUCCAAAUGGAAUAAAACCUUCGGGAGAGUUAUUUUUGGAACAGAAGCAAUCCAGGAGACUUGGAGUAGACGUCAGGGAAGCUUCGAGGAAGCCACGAGGCAGGGAGGUGCGCCCUACCCCCUGGGCGCGCCCCCCAACCUCGUGGGCCCCUCGUGGCUCUCCUGACCGACUUCUUUCGCCUAUAUAUGUCCAUAUACCCUAAAAACAUCGAGGAGCAGAAUAGAUCGGGAGUUCCGCCGCCGCAAGCCUCUGUGGCCAUCAAAAACCAAUCGGGACCCUGUUCCGGCACCCUGCCGGAGGGGGGGAUCCCUCACCAGCGGCCAUGUUCAUCAUCCCGGCGCUCUCCAUGAUGAGGAGGGAGUAGUUCACCCUCGGGGCUGAGGGUAUGUACCAGUAGCUAUGUGUUUGAUCUCUCUCUCUCUCUCUCUCUCGUGUUCUUGAUUUGGCACGAUCUUGAUGUAUCGCGACCUUUGCUAUUAUAGUUGGAUCUUAUGAUGUUUCUCCCCCUCUACUCUCUUGUAAUGGAUCGAGUUUUCCCUUUGAAGUUAUCUUAUCGGAUUGAGUCUUUAAGGAUUUGAGAACACUUGAUGUAUGUUUUGCAUGUGCUUAUCUGUGGUGACAAUGGGAUAUUGACGUGAUCUACUUGAUGUAUGCUUUGGUGAUCAACUUGUGGGUUCAGUGACCUUGUGAACUUAUGCAUAGGGAUUGGCACACGUUUUCGUCUUGACUCUCCGAUAGAAACUUUGGGGCACUCUUUGAAGUUCUUUGUGUUAGAUUGAAUAGAUGAAUCCGAGAUUGUGUGAUGCAUAUCGUAUAAUUAUACCCACGUAUACUUGAGGUGACAUUGGAGUAUCUAGGUGACAUUAGGGUUUUGGUUGAUAUGUGUCUUAAGGUGUUAUUCUAGUACGAACUCUUGAAUAGAUCGAUCCGAAAGAAUAACUUUGAGGUGGUUUCGUACCCUACAAUAAUCUCUUCGUUUGUUCUACGCUAUUAGUGACUUUGGAGUGACUCUUUGUUGCAUGUUGAGGGAUUGUUAUAUGAUCUAAUUAUGUUAUUAUUGUCGAGAGAACUUGCACUUGUGAAAGUAUGAACCCUAGGCCUUGUUUCCUAGCAUUGCAAUACUGUUUACGCUCACUUUUAUCAUUAGUUACCUUGCUGUUUUUAUAUUUUCAGAUUACAAAAACCUAUAUCUACCAUCCAUAUUGCACUUGUAUCACCAUCUGUUCGCCGAACUAGUGCACCUAUACAAUUUAUCAUUAUAUUGGGUGUGUUGGGGACAGAAGAGACUCUUUGUUAUUUGGUUGCAGGGUUGCUUGAGAGAGACCAUCUUCAUCCUACGCCUCCCACGGAUUGAUAAACCUUAGGCCAUCCACUUGAGGGAAAUUUGCUACUGUCCUACAAACCUCUGUACUUGGAGGCCCAACAAUGUCUACAAGAAGAAGGUUGCGUAGUAGACAUCAAGCUCUUUUCUGGCACCGUUGCCGGGGAGGUGAGUGCUUGAAGGUAUAUCUUUAGAUCUUGCAAUUGAAUCUUUUAGUUUAUUGUUUUAUCACUAGUUUAGUCUAUAAAAGAAAACUACAAAAAAAAUGGAAUUGAGGGUGCCUCAUAUGCUUCAUCUUUUUAAUAUCUUUCAUGAAAAUAAGGAUUUCGAUAAUUGUGCUCAAUUGCUAGAGGAAGAAUGCAUUAGGAUGUUUGGCACUAAUUCUUUGAAUGAUGAGCAUGAUUGCAAUGUUGUUAGUAUGAACUCCUUGAAUAUCCAUAGUACUAAUGAUGAUUGCACUAGUCAUGAUGAAAAUGUCUCUUAUAAGAUGUCAACUUUUGUGGAGUGCAUAGAGUUUGCAAGUACACACCAAAUAGGGAAGAUAGAUUUUGCAAGAGGCAUAAGUAUUUAGAAACUAAAUGGUUGCAAGAGAGGCUAGAUGUUUGUGCUGAAAAUUUAAAAUUUCUUUGCCAUACUUGUGAACUUUGCAAUGAACAUGGUCCUUUAAAUCUCCAAUGCAAAUUGUUUCAUGAUCGUAUCGUGUCCAAAAAUUGUGAUGAUUUGAUUUCCCUUGCACAUCAUAAUGAACUUAGUUUGCUUUUGGGUUAUGAAGAAAUGAAAUCUAUAACUAAGCAUAUUCUAGAAUUUAACCUUGAGAAAUUCCUCGAUAUUGAUCUAGAAGAAAUUUAUAUGUAUUGUGCGGUGAAUUGCAUUGAAAAUCCUUAUAUUGCCAAUUACAUAAAGAAAAGAAAACAAAUAUAAGAUGAAGAGAACACUAAUGAAAGGGAAGAGGCUUCCCAAUAUUCUGCUAUUAUUUCUUAUGAUGAAUCAGGUAACGAGGAGGAGCCUUCUAUUCAACCAAUCUCAUUAAUAAGGAGCUCCAAAAAGAGGAUUAAACCCACGCAUGAUGUGAAGAAGAAAAAGAAAAGACGGAGAAGCAAAGGUAAAAAGGUAUCCCUCCCAAAUGAUGUUGCUCCUAUUACUCAUUGUGAUGAUGAUAAUUGCUAUACUAUUGGUGCUAUCCAUACUAUUAAUGAUGAGAGUUAUUAUGCUUAUGAUAUGAAAAGACCCAAGCUUGGGGAUGCCAUGUUUGAUGAGAAAGACAAAUUUGAGAAUUUAUUUGCUGCAAUUAAUGAUUGUCCCAAGCUUGGGGAUGCUAUGUUUAAUGAAGAUGAUAUUUUUAGCCUCCCAUGUUUUGAUGAGCAAAUUUAUAAUGAUGAUAGCAUGCCUCCUACUUAUGAUGAUUAUAUUCAUGAAAGUGGGUUUGGAAGAGUGUCAACUUUAGGAAGUAAUGAUCUCACUAUUUUGGAGGAUGUUGAAUAUUAUUGUGAUAAAUAUGAAAGUGGAUUUGGAGAGGUCAUGACUUUAUUUAGUGAUGAUUCCACUAUCUUGGAAGAGGUUUCAAUCGAUUAUGAUGAGAACAAAGUUGCUACUUAUGAUAAUUAUUGUGAUGAUACGUAUGCUAUAAAAAGUAGUGAUUAUUAUAUUUAUAAAACUUGUCAUGAUUAUGAUUACCCUUUUUCUGAACAUUACUCUUUUAAUGUGGAAACAAUUUAUAGUAUUCGAGUCUCUUAUGAUACUCCCACUAUUCUGAAUGAGAAGAAUUUUGCUUAUGUGGAGAGUAAUAAAAUUUCUAUGCUUGUAGAUCAUGAAAAGAAUGCUUUAUGUGAUGUUUAUAUUGUUGAAUUCAUUCAUGAUGCUACCGAAAAUUAUUAUGAGGGAGGAAUAUAUGCUUGUAGGAAUUGCAAUAAUAUCAAGUUUCCUCUCUAUGUGCUUAAAGUUUUGAAGUUAUGCUUGUUUCGCCUUCCUAUGCUAGUUGAAUAUUGUUCCCAUAAAUUGUUUGUUCACAAAGUCCCUAUGCAUAGGAAGUGGGUUAGACUUAAAUGUGCUUGCCAUGUGUUUCAUGAUGCUCUCUUUAUGUUUCAAUUCUUAUCUUUUAUGUGAGCAUCAUUGAAAUCAUCAUGCCUAGCUAGGGGCGUUAAACGAUAGCGCUUGUUGGGAGGCAACCCAAUUUUAUUUUUGUUUCUGUUUAGUAAUAAAUAUUUGAUCUAGCCUCUGGUUAGAUGUGGUUUUAUGUUUUAAUUAGUGUUUGUGCCAAGUAAAACCUAUAGGAUCUUCUUGGAUGAUAGUUAUUUGAUCUUGCUGAAAAAAAUCAGAAACUUUCUGCUCACGAAAACAAUUAUUAAAAAUAACCAGAAAGUGAUAAAAUACUGAUUCCAAUUGCAGUAGAUAAAUAAUCAAAUUAUAUAGGUCUUCCUAUUUUGGCAGAUUUUUCUGAGUUCCAGAAGUUUGCGUUUGAUACAGAUUACUACAGACUAUUGUGUUUUUGACAGAUUCUGUUUUCUUUGUGUUGUUUGCUUAUUUUGAUGAACCUAUGAGUAGUAUCGGAGGGUAUGAACCAUAGAUAAGUUGGAAUACAGUAGAUAUUACACCAAUAUGAAUUUAGAAUGAGUUCACAACAGUACCAAAAGUGGUGAUUUAUUUUCUUAUACUAACGGAGCUUACGAGUUUUCUGUUGAGUUUUGUGUUGUGAAGUUUUCAAGUUUUGGGUAAAGAUUCGAUGGACUAUGGAAUAAGGAGUGGCAAGAGCCUAAGCUUUGGGAUUCCCAACGCACCCCAAGGUAAUAUUCAAGGACAACCAAGAGCCUAAGCUUGGGGAUGCCCCGGAUGGCAUCCCCUCCUUCGUCUUCGCUCAUCGGUAACUUUACUUGUAGCUAUAUUUUUAUUCACCACAUGAUAUGUGUUUUGCUUGGAGCGUCAUUUUAUUUUGUUAGUAUUUGCUUGCUGUUAUUUAGAAUAAUGUUUUGCAUCUCUAGUUUCAAUAAAAAUGUCAAGGAUAGCUUUUACCAUGCUUAUUUUGCAAGUAUACAUGUUGCUGUUUCAAAACAGAAAGUUUAUCGAUGUUGCAAAAAUUCCCUAGAAAAGCCAGAAUAUGAUAAAAUGUUACUUUUUGCAUAAUAAGCUCUGAUAAAUUUACUACAGUGGGAAUGUUCUUUCAUAAUUUUUGGAGCUAGGGAAGUAUGGAUCUUGCUGCAUUCUUUACAGACUAUCCUGUUUAGGCAGAAUGAUGUUAUGUUUGCAUUGUUUGCUUGUUUAAUGAUUCUAUUUGAGGAUAGGACUAUUAAAUAUGAAGAGGCAUUUAGUAUGCAAUGUUGAAUAAUAAUUUUAGUGAUUUGCUACAUUAUAGUAUGAUAAGGUUUUUGCAUUGGUUUAUACUAACUUAUCUCACGAGUCCUUGUUGAGUUUUGUGUGGAUGAAGCUCUUGAGAUUUAGGGAGACCAUGAUAUGGGAGGAAUUAAGGAGACACAAAAGCUCAAGCUUGGGGAUGCCUAAGGCAUCCCAAGAUAAUAUUUCAAGAAGUCUCAAGCGUCUAAGCUUGGGGAUGCCCCGGUUGGCAUCCCACAUCUCUUCUUCAACAACUAUCAGUUAGUUUUGGUUGAUCCUAAGUUUUUGCUUCUUCACAUGAUGAGUGCCAUCCUUGAAAUAUCGUUUUAUUUUGUUUUUCUUGCUAUAUGAAUAAAAUACCAAGAUCUAAAAUUCUUAAAUGAGAGAGAGUCUUCACAUAGCUACAUAAUUAUUUAACUACUCAUUGAUCUUCACUUAUAUCUUUUUGGAGUAGUUUGUCAUUUACUCGUGUGCUUCACUUAUAUCCUAUGAGUAAAUGGUUGAACGAUUUGAAUGUCAUAAAUCUGAAAUUAUAUAUGUUUCAUAUGUCUUUCCCAUGGGGAGUAAUGCCUUCACAUAUAAGAAGUAGAGGUGGUAAAUUUUUUGAAGGUUAGCAAACAUAGUAUUGGUCACUUGAACAAUUCAUGAAAGAAUAUUGAAGGAAGAGAGAUUUCACAUAUAAAUAUACUAUCUUGGACAUCUUCUAUGAUUGUGAGCCCCAUUAGUUAUUGUCAAACCUGAGCAAAUUAGUUGAAGUUGGAUAAGGAAGACAACAUAAUGAGUUAUGCUUGGGUAUAUUUGUAUAGAAGUUAUGUUGUUAUGGAUCCUCUAACAUGUGGUGCUUGCUAUUUAGAAUCCUUUGCUAGCCAAAAUAUCUGUACUAAGCGGGAAUACUGCUUGUCCAUCCAAAUUCCUUGAACCAAGUUUAUACCAUGAGUGUCCACCAUAUCUACCUAUAUGCGGUAUUUACCUACCGUUCCAAGUAAAUUUGCAUGUGCCAAACUCUAAACCUUUAAAUAAUAAUCUGUUUUUGUCGGUGGGAACGACACCUAUGGGGUCACUGGGAUCCCUUCAACGGUCGGCGGGCGCGAGGUUGUGCAACGAGCAGGUCUGACAGGAAGCACACGGGUCGUUUACCCAGGUUCGGGCCACGAAGAUGCGUAAUACCCUAGUCCUGCUUUGGUGGAUGUAUUGAGUGUUCUUGUGUUCUUGAGCUAGCUACGGAGUGCAACUUGCCCAAAAGAGCCGAAUCCUUCUCCUGGUCGCCUCGGGCCUAAUUUUAUAGGCAAAAGGGGUCGCCACAGUGGCACACAGGAGGUGGAAAGGUGUACAGUGGAUGAGCCUAUCCUCUGGGACCGUCGGACAAACGCAUUUAAUGCGCUGCCGACGUGCCCCCCUUGCAUUAUCGGGGACGACAAGGAAGCACGUCCCAGCUGUCGCCGCCUCGCCUGGCCUCGACACGCGUCCGAGCUGAUGAGCCUUCGUGGCGCCAUGUUGGCUGGCUGCUAGGCUGGCGCGGUGGUGGAGCCUUCACGAAGGGUUGCAUGCCACCACGCAGGUGCUUGCUGAGUCGGUGUAGAGGCCGCCCAUCGCCACGCAGGUGCCUGCCCAGCUGGUUGAGCUAGUAGCUGCUUGGGGACGGUGGUGGAGUCUUGGCUGGUGCGGGCCUGGCAGUGGCCCCGCUGAUGCUCUCGGCAAGGGUCUAGCCGAGGGCCCGACAAGGGUCUUGCCAUGGCAUUGCAGUCGUCCCCGGCAAGGCGCUUGCCGGGGGUCUUGUGGAUUUCCUCGGCCAGGGUCCCGCCGAGGGUCGUCAUCUUCUGGUCCUCAUCUGAUCUCAUGUGUUUAUGAUCUUGACAAAGAUCUGCAUGCCACCACGGAGGUGCCUCCUGAGCCUUGGUUCCAAUGUAGUUGUUGGCCGUGUUUGGAACUCCAGGGCUCAAGGGUGGCUCGCUCUGUUGGUGUUGCGAAAGUUGCCCCGACAAGGCUCUUGCCGGGGCUGCGGAGGUCGCCCCGGCAAGGCUCUUGCCGGGGCCGCGGAGGUCGCCCCAGCAAGGCUCUUGCUGGGGCCGUGGAGGUCGCCCCGACAAGGGUCUUGCCGGGGGAGUCUACCUCACCCUUCUGCUCUUUGUAUCUCUGGUCUUGGCGUUGCCUUGGGUCUCCUUGUGCUUCGGCUUCUCUCCGGCUUCCCUCCUCUGCCUUGUUAAGUGUGGCCGCGGGCGCGGCUCUGACUGCCCGUGCACAAGUUAAGGGGUCAAAAGGAGAGCCGCUAAUUUUGUACACCGACAGGAGCCCCGGGCCUGGGCCACACAUAAGCGCGACGCGUUGUUGGGCGAGGCCCAGAACGGUGCGCGGGCAGGUGGGGCGGAUUUUUACUGUAGUAACUGUUUCGUCCGCUGCGCUUCCCCACGACCCACGUUGAACGCGCAACGUGGAGGGUCGUGCGUGAGUGGGGGUCAUGCGUGGGGCGGUUCCCGCACGCAUCCGUCACGUCGCAGUUAAUGGGAAAAGAGGCGGCCCGCGCCUUCCCCGUAAAAAGGAAUAACCGCGGGCGCGCUGCUCCUUUACCCUCCGUGCUUUCCCCAAUCUCGGAACCGCAGUCCCCUUCUUCCUCCAUCUCAAGCUCUUGCCUUCGCUCGCCGCUGCAGCGCCUUCGCCAUCCUUCGUUCCUCGCCUCCCGCAGCCGCCAUGGCACCCAAGACCAGCAGAGGCAAGGGAGUGGCCAAGGAUGCCGGGACGAACGAGCCGCCGGAGAGCAAGUUGGCGGUGUGGCGGACGCAGUCCGCCUACUUCCCCACGGCGGUCGACGCAGUCCACCUCCGGGACUNNNNNNNNNNNNNNNNNNNNNNNNNNNNNNNNNNNNNNNNNNNNNNNNNNNNNNNNNNNNNNNNNNNNNNNNNNNNNNNNNNNNNNNNNNNNNNNNNNNNNNNNNNNNNNNNNNNNNNNNNNNNNNNNNNNNNNNNNNNNNNNNNNNNNNNNNNNNNNNNNNNNNNNNNNNNNNNNNNNNNNNNNNNNNNNNNNNNNNCACUCUGCCACGCGCGUCAUCCCUGCUGCCUUCGCCGAGGCUGGCCCGAAUCGGUACCCGUUCUUCGUCGACUACUUUUCUUGCGGCCUCUGCCCCCCCUUCUCGGAUUUCUUCAGCGACAUCAUGCAAACCUACGGCUUCCACCUUCUGGAUUUUACGCCAAAUGCCAUGGCAUGAAUGGCUCUUUUUGCGCACCUCUGCUAGGGCUUCAUCGGGGUGCAUCCCAACACGGCGCUCUUCCGCCAUUACUUCUUCCCUCGGAUCCAAAAGCGGGGCGCCAUCUCUAGUUGUGUCGCCUGGAUCCCAAGGUCUAAGGGGACAUACCCGGAGGGCACUCAGAAGGAGAGGUGGGAGGAGUGGCGGGGCCGGUGGUGCUGGAUUGAGGGGGAGGAUCCACCAGCAUUCUGCAAGGUUCGGCAGGCGCCGCCGGUUCGCCGAAGUGACUGGAGCGAUGUCGACACCGACGACGCGAAGCUCACGGUCGCCACCACCACGAUUCUUCGCCUCACCGAGGCCGGGCUCACCCUUGAGAUGAUCGGGGCGGAUUUCAUCCGCCGCGGAAUCGCUCAGCUGCACAACAAGGAGAGGCCGGCCUGACGAAUGCGGCCGACAUCAUGAGGCGUCGCCCUGGCUUGGACCACAACCUCACGGUGAUGGGGCACGCUCACUUCUGUCAGCGGCUCUUCCAGUUCGACGUGAACCGCGACGGCAAGGUCGAGCAGUCCCGCAAGGCCGCGAAGGCCCGCAAGGUCGCCAAGGGGCCCUUGUUUAAGUUGCCGGCGGGGGUGGUCCCGCUGAGCAACAACUCGCGUCAAAACGACAUCAUCGCCAUGAUGCCGGAGUUCAAUGCGCACGGCCUCGUCCCAAAUUGGGCCAAGCCGCCGGAGGAUCAGGUGCAGGAGUUUUUUGACACCCUAGAGGAGAAGUACGUCCGCAAUGAGCCGCGGCUCGUCCAGGACACUACCCAGGCGGAGCUGGACUACAUUGCCGCCAGGGCGGCCGAGGCGGAGCUCGCCAAGGAGGCCGACAGCACCGGCGGCGUGGAGGAUAAGUCCGCGGCGGCCGCGGAGGAGAAGGAGCUUGCCCAGUGGGCGGAGUCCGCUGGGGAAGCCAGCAGCACCGGCACCGGGGCACCUCUCGCUGAAGAUGUGGUCGACGAGUCGUCGUCGGAGGAGGCCGAGGCUGUUGACCCUCCGGUCACGGGGAGAGGGCGAGUCCUGCGGCGGGCCACCUCUGGCGAGCCGGUCCGGCCCGGCAGGGCCGUACAACCACGACAAGCCCAGGAGGGGUCCGCGCGCCAGACAAGGGCCGCGCCGGCGAAGAAGUUGGUGAAGGCCGCGGUGGCGAAGAAGAAAGCAACUGCCUCUUCUUCGUCCAAGCGUCCUCGGACUCCAUCAGCUUCCCCUCCUCCGGCAGAUGUUGACGCGGAGGUCAUCUUCGAUUUUGGGUCCCUCAGCCCAAGGAGGAAGAGGAAGGCAACAGAGGAGGAGGUGGAGGACGAGUAAGUGUCUUGUCCCUUUCUGUCAUCUCUGUCCCCUCAGACCAUGCCACUUAUCUUGAUUCUUUUUCAUCUUUGCAGGGAUGCGGAGACGCUGGCCCAGAGGGUGAAAAGGGCCAGGGCUUCGGCGGGCGGCCAGCCCCCGGCAGGCGCUUUCGGCACACCGCUGGUGGUGUUGAGCAGCCCGGAUACCAGCCCUCGGCACAGCCCCCAGCGUAAGUUCAUCACUCGCCCUUCGUCAACGUGUGUUGGGGGCACGAUCCCUUGGUGCUGACGUUGCUGUGAUUGCAGGAGGAGGACAGCAGCAGGAGGAGCCAUAGAGGGCUACCCCCAACACGCCGCCCCCAUCGACCACGCCGCCCCGAGGGGCGUCCCCGGCAAGGGCGCCAAGCACCGAGCCCAUGCACACGGAGGAGGAGGAGGCGAACUCGAGCGCUGGUGGCUUCGCCUCGGUGCCAAAUGUUGGCGGGGAGGGGACCUCUGCUUCCCAGCCCGACACGGGUAAGUCACUUGCCUUCCGUCCCUGUUCUUUCUGAAUCUUGGUCUCGGCUUUGCUUCAUCCCGUUCUCAAUAUCCAGAUCCUCCGUCGGCGGGCCAGGAGGACAUAGACACCGUCAUCGAGGAUGUCGUCAAGGCCGUCGAGGCGGAGGCCGAGAAGAUCGCCGCUGAGGAGGCCGCCAAGGGCGCUGCUGAGGAUGCCGCCAAGGGGCCUAUCGGGGAGCCCGACAAGGGGCCUGCCGGGGAGGCCGGCAAGCCUGCUGCCGAGGAGGAGGUGGUUGAUGACCAGCCGUCCUCCUCUGCUGCCUCUAGCUCUGGCAGGUAUCUGAAGGUGAGCGACGACUUUUUCGUCCACCUUCCAGGGACGUCGAGCUCCAGGGCUCCCAUCGAGGGAGAGGUGUUCGACGAGGAGGUGCUUGCCACCGCUGGGCUCGAGGUUGUCGACGAGCCGAGCGCCAGUGGCGACGGUUCUUAAGAGGAGCGGCUUCUCCAGGCCAUGGGUGCCAGCUUUCGGAAGCUCCAGGCGAUCCACCGCGCCCGCCUGGACAAGGCCAAGUCUAGGAUGGCAACGGUGGACAAGGCGGAGGCGGACCUCAAGGGACGCGUCCCCGAGGCGCAGACUUGGUUCCGCCAACCGUGUGAGGAGCCGAAGGCCGCCCAGGGCGAGCUGGCCAAGCGCGAGGUGGAGCUCACCAUGAAGCGGGCCGACAUCGAGAAGGCCCAGGAGACGGCGAAGAACCUGGCCGCCGAAGCCGAGGCCGCUCGAACCUAGCACCAGGCCACGCUGAACUCCCAGGAGGAGGACCUUGCCGCGCGUGAGGAGAAGCUUGCCGCAACGCUCCGCGGCAUGGAUGAGGAGGUGGAGAAGCUCGUCGUGCAGCGGACCCAGGAGCUGGAGCAGAGGCACGGAGAGGCACUCAAUGCCCAGGCUCUGGUUCACGCCGACAAGGUGAACGAGCUGGAGGUGGAGCGGGACGGGCUGAAAGACCAGGUCCUGAAGCUAUCCAAGGAGAAGUACACGCUCAACAGCGCUCUGGUUGAGGCGCAGGGCGCGGCCCUCAGCAGGGUUGGGCAGCUCUCCGAGGCCGACAACUCCAUCAAAGACCUCAAGCUGAAGCUGGAGGGUCUCGAGGGGAUGCUGUCGGAGGGCAGGGCCCAGGAGGAGGCCCUGGCCAAGGACCUAGAGACCGAGAAGCAGUUGCGGAAGGACGAGACCGCCAACCACAAAGACUUUGUGGAGGGUGAGAAUCGCUAGAUCGGGCGCCUCGAAGGCGUCGCCGGCAGGAUCACCAUGCAGCUGGCUACCAUGGGGAUGCCAAAUGUGAGGUAUACCCCGGAGCGCAACGUGAGCCCCAACGCCAAGCUGACCAUCUUCUUCGAGGGCGUCCUCGGGGCCCUGGAGCAGCUCCACUCCAAUCGGGGGCCUCCCUGGCCGACGAGGCCCGGAGGCUUUGCCGGGGUGCCAUGACCAAGGUCCUCACCAAGGUGGCGCACUGGAAUCCUGACCUCGACUUCGACGCCGCGCAGGAGAGCUUGCCGGAGGAUGCGGACAUCGCGGCACUCAAGGAGCGUAUCAAGCCCAUCAUCAGCCGCAUCGAUGGAAUCUAGAGGUUGGAGGGCCAGCGCCGGGAUUAGGCACCCCGUUUCUCAUUGCCGCUGCAGGUUCAUGACCAAGACAAUUUCUAUCUUUAGUUAGAACCGCGGCAACAACUGAUGUAAUAUAAUUCCGUAGUACUUUUGAUACGAUGCAUGUUGUUUUCCUGUCUGAUCUUCCCUUGUAUGUCCGCCCUACGUUAACCGGGUAGGCUCGCCGGCGCGUAAACCCAGGGCGGCACCUUGGGGACGGAUCCCCAAUGGCCUGCCGGGUGUGCUUGCUGCCGAGCGAACCACCUUACCGCUCUCAACGCGGCCGCUCGAACUGUCGAGCUUGACUCGAGUUAGAAUCGAGAGCGUUGCCAAUUGCGGAAGGCUACCCUGCCACUCUCGACGUGGCCGCUCGAGCUGUUGAGCAGACUCGAAACAGAACAAGGGCGUUGCCAAUUGCGGAAGGGCCCCUUUGCGUGUAGGUUUUCCACACACAGGACAGGACCUUCGAGGAUAAUAACCAUAUAUAAAAAAGAAAUUGCCCAAAGUUUCUCAUGACUUAGCUUUUCUGUCGUUGUAAGGGCGCCCACCGCAUCCGCAGACGGCGCCGUCAUACUUGGUUGUCCUCUUCCUUGGAACGAUGGCCACGAUGAAGCCGCUGCUUCGAUUAGACCAGAUUUUCACAACUGCGCCCCCUACCUGGCGCGCCAAAUAUGUCGGUGGGAACGACACCUAUGGGGUCACUGGGAUCCCUUCUACGGUCGGCGGGCGCGAGGUUGUGCAAAGAGCAGGUCUGACAGGAAGCACACGGGUCGUUUACCCAGGUUCGGGCCGCGAAGAUGCGUAAUACCCUAGUCCUACUUUGGUGGAUGUAUUGAGUGUUCUUGUGUUCUUGAGCUAGCUACGGAGUGCAACUUGCCCAAAAGAGCCGAAUCCUUCUCCUGGACGCCUUGGGCCUCCUUUUAUAGGCAAAAGGGGUCGCCACAGUGGCACACAGGAGGUCAAAAGAUGUAUAGUUGAUGAGCCUAUCCUCUGGGACCGUCGGACAAACGCAUUUAAUGUGCUGCCGACGUGGCCCCCUUGCUUUAUCGGGGACGGCAAGGAAGCACGUCCCAGCUAUCGCCGCCUCACCUGGCCUCGACACGCGUCCGAGCUGAUGAGGCGUCAUGGCGCCAUGUUGGCUGGCUGCUGGGCUGGCGCGGUGGUGGAGCCUUCAUGAAGGGUUGCAUGCCACCACGCAGGUGCUUGCUGAGUCGGUGUAGAGGCCGCCCGUCGCCACGCAGGUGCCUGCCCAGCUGGUUGAGCUAGCAGCUGCUUGAGGAUGGCGGUGGAGUCUUGGCUUGUGCGGGCCUGGCAGUGGCCCCGCUGAUGCCCUCGGCAAGGGUCUUGCCGGGGCCCGGCAAGGGUCUUGCCGUGGCGUUGCAGUCGCCCUCGGCAAGGCGCUUGCCGGGGGUCUUGUGGAUUUCCUCGGCCAGGAUCCCUCCGAGGGUCGUCGUCUUCUGGUCCUCAUCUGAUCUCAUGUGUUUAUGAUCUUGACAAAGAUCUGCAUGCCACCACGGAGGUGCCUCCCGAGCCUUGGUUCCAAUGUAGUUGUUGGCCGUGUUUGGAACUCCUGGGCUCAAGGGUGGCUCGCUCUGUUGGUGUUGGGCAAGUUGCCCCGGCAAGGGUCUUGCCGGGGGAGUCUACCUCACCCUUCUGCUCUUUGUGUCUCUGGUCUUGGCGUUGCCUUGGGUCGCCUUGUGCUUCGACUUCUCUCCGGCUUCCCACCUCUGCCUUGUUAAGUGUGGCCGCAGGCGCGACUCUGACUGCCCGUGCACAAGUUAAGGGGUCAAAAGGAGAGCCCCUACUUUUGUACACCGACAGUUUUGUAUGCCCGAAUCUCUCAUGUAGCGACUAGGGGCUGUCAGUAUCUUCCAUGCUAGGUGGGUUAUUCUCACGAUGAGUGGACUCCGCUCAUCAUUCACGAGAAAAUGGCUGGUAACUGGGAUGCCCAGUCCUAAGAUCAAAAGAUAAAAAACAAAUUCGCAAAUAAUUUAAACAAACUCCCCCAGGAUUGUUGAUAGUUGGACGGCACCCGUUGUUUCGGACAAGCCGUGGAGCGUGAUUGUUGGUGGAGGGGGAGUAAAAUCUUUACCUUUCUGUUUGGGAACCGCCUAUAAUGUAUGUAGUAUGGAAGAUAUUGGGAACUCUUGGUCGUUAUGUCGACAAUGAAAGCAUACCUCUCAAAAUUAUUUUCAUCUCUGUUUUAGCUUCGAGCUCUGGCACCUCUGCAAAUCCCUACUUCCCUCUGCGAAGGGUCUAUCUUUUACUUUUAUGCAAGAGUCAGUAGUAUUCCUUCUCAUUCCAACCUACUCUUUAGUUGGCAAGCAUCAUGUGUUGGGGAAAGAUCUAAGCAUAUAUGGCCAUUCAAAUAUAUUUGAUCAUGAAUUAUUAUUGUUGACAAUAUUCUAUAUGAUAAAUAAGUUGGGAGGCGAAACAUUAAGCCCCUAUCUUUCUUUGUGUUCGAUGGAUGCUAUUUGCUCUAAAAAUAUGCUUUGAGUGGUAGCAAUCAUGGAAGACUAUAUGAUAGUUGAGUAUGUGGGAUUUGCUAAAUCAAAGCUCUUACAUAGACCCUUCCUGAAAAUAAGAUGAAUUGAAUUGUUUGAUGACUGAGAACAUAGUUUGUUAGUUUUCAAGAAAGUUUAUGGUCUAUACUUUAACAUGUGAAUAGCUUGUUACUUGGUCAUGAAAAGUUUUAUGAGUUGAGCUACUGUUAUGACAUAUAAUGAUGCUAGAAAAGGUGAUUGAAAUUAUCAUUGAUCAAACUUGUGCACCUGCUAGCAUUCACACUUCAUAAAUUAUCUCUUUUAUCAUUUACCUACUCGAGGACAAGCAGGAAUUAAGCUUGGGGAUGCUGAUACGUCUCCAACGUAUCUAUAAUUUAUGAAGUAUUCAUGCUAUUAUAUAUUCUGUUUUGGAUGUUUAAUGGGCUUUAUUAUACACUUUUAUAUUAUUUUUGGGACUAACCUAUUAACCGGAGGCCCAGCCCAAAUUGAUGUUUUCUUGCCUAUUUCAGUGUUUCGAAGAAAAGGAAUAUCAAAUGGAGUCCAAACGGAAUGAAACCUUUGGGAGAGUUAUUUUUGGAACGGAAGCAAUCCAGGAGACUUGGAGUAGACGACAGGGAAGCUUCGAGGAAGCCACGAGGCAGGGAGGCGCGCCCUACCCCCUGGGCCCACCCCUACCCUCGUGGGCCCCUCGUGGCUCCCCUGACCGACUUCUUUCGCCUAUAUAUGUCCAUAUACCCUAAAAACAUUGAGGAGUAGAAUAGAUCGUGAGUUCCACCGCCGAAAGCCUCUGUAGCCACCAAAAACCAAUCGGGACCUUGUUCCGGCGCCCUGCCGGAGGGGGGAUCCCUCACCGGCGGCCAUCUUCAUCAUCCCGGCACUCUCCAUGACGAAGAGGGGGUAGUUCACCCUCAGGGCCGAGGGUAUGUACCAGUAGCUAUGUGUUUGAUCUCUCUCUCUCUCUCGUGUUCUUGAUUUGGCACGAUCUUGAUGUAUCGCGAGCUUUGCUAUUAUAGUUGGAUCUUAUGAUGUUUCUCCCCCUCUACUCUCUUGUAAUGGAUCGAGUUUUCCCUUUGAAGUUAUGUUAUCGGAUCGAGUCUUUAAGGAUUUGAGAACACUUGAUGUAUGUCUUGCAUGUGCUUAUCUGUGGUGACAAUGGGAUAUUGACGUGAUCUGCUUGAUGUAUGUUUUGGUGAUCAACUUGCGGGUUCAGUGACCUUGUGAACUUAUGCAUAGGGGUUGGCACACGUUUUCGUCUUGACUCUCCGGUAGAAACUUUGGGGCACUCUUUGAAGUUCUUUGUGUUGGAUUGAAUAGAUGAAUCUGAGAUUGUGUGAUGCAUAUCGUAUAAUCAUACCCACGGAUACUUGAGCUGACAUUGGAGUAUCUAGGUGACAUUAGGGUUUUGGUUGAUAUGUGUCUUAAGGUGUUAUUCUAGUACGAACUCUUGAAUAGAUCGAUCCGAAAGAAUAACUUUGAGGUGGUUUCGUACCCUAUAAUAAUCUCUUCGUUUGUUCUAUGCUAUUAGUGACUCUCUGUUGCAUGUUGAGGGAUUGUUAUAUGAUCUAAUUAUGUUAUUAUUGUCGAGAGAACUUGCACUAGUGCAAGUAUGAACCCUAGGCCUUGUUUCCUAGCAUUGCAAUACUGUUUACGCUCACUUUUAUCAUUAGUUACCUUGCUGUUUUUAUAUUUUCAGAUUACAAAAACCUAUAUCUACCAUCCAUAUUGCACUUGUAUCACCAUCUGUUCGCCGAACUAGUGCACCUAUACAAUUUAUCAUUAUAUUGGGUGUGUUGGGGACAGAAGAGACUCUUUGUUAUUUGGUUGCAGGGUUGCUUGAGAGAGACCAUCUUCAUCCUACGCCUCCCACGGAUUGAUAAACCUUAGGCCAUCCACUUGAGGGAAAUUUGCUACUGUCCUACAAACCUCUGUACUUGGAGGCCCAACAAUGUCUACAAGAAGAAGGUUGCGUAGUAGACAUCAAGCUCUUUUCUGGCACCGUUGCCGGGGAGGUGAGUGCUUGAAGGUAUAUCUUUAGAUCUUGCAAUUGAAUCUUUUAGUUUAUUGUUUUAUCACUAGUUUAGUCUAUAAAAGAAAACUACAAAAAAAAUGGAAUUGAGGGUGCCUCAUAUGCUUCAUCUUUUUAAUAUCUUUCAUGAAAAUAAGGAUUUCGAUAAUUGUGCUCAAUUGCUAGAGGAAGAAUGCAUUAGGAUGUUUGGCACUAAUUCUUUGAAUGAUGAGCAUGAUUGCAAUGUUGUUAGUAUGAACUCCUUGAAUAUCCAUAGUACUAAUGAUGAUUGCACUAGUCAUGAUGAAAAUGUCUCUUAUAAGAUGUCAACUUUUGUGGAGUGCAUAGAGUUUGCAAGUACACACCAAAUAGGGAAGAUAGAUUUUGCAAGAGGCAUAAGUAUUUAGAAACUAAAUGGUUGCAAGAGAGGCUAGAUGUUUGUGCUGAAAAUUUAAAAUUUCUUUGCCAUACUUGUGAACUUUGCAAUGAACAUGGUCCUUUAAAUCUCCAAUGCAAAUUGUUUCAUGAUCGUAUCGUGUCCAAAAAUUGUGAUGAUUUGAUUUCCCUUGCACAUCAUAAUGAACUUAGUUUACUUUUUGGUUAUGAAGAAAUGAAACGUAUAACUAAGCAUAUUCCAGAAUUUAACCUUGAGAAAUUCCUCAAUAUUGAUCUAGAUGAAAUUUAUAUGUAUUGUGCGGUGAAUUGCAUUGAAAAUCCUUAUAUUGCCAAUUACAUAAAGAAAAUCAAACAAAUAGAAGAUGAAGAGAACAUUAAUGAAAGGGAAGAGGCUUCCCAAUAUCCUCCUAUUAUUUCUUAUGAUGAAUCAGGUAACGAGGAGGAGCCUUCUAUUCAACCAAUCUCAUUAAUAAGGAGCUCCAAAAAGAGGAUUAAACCCACACAUGAUGUGAAGAAGAAAAAGGAAAAGACGGAGAAGCAAAGGUAAAAAGGUAUCCCUCCCAAAUGAUGUUGCUCCUAUUACUCAUUGUGAUGAUGAUAAUUGCUAUACUAUUGGUGCUAUCCAUACUAUUAAUGAUGAGAGUGAUUAUGCUUAUGAUAUGAAAAGGCCCAAGCUUGGGGAUGCCAUGUUUGAUGAGAAUGACAAAUUUGAGAAUUUAUUUGCUACAAUUAAUGAUUGUCCCAAGCUUGGGGAUGCUAUGUUUAAUGAUAUUUCAUUUAUCUGAACAUUCAUGCCACAAUAAAGAGAAUUACAAUGAAAAUUAUGUUAGGUAGCAUUCCACAACAAAAAUUCUGUUUUUAUCAUUUACCUACUCGAGGACGAGCAGGAAUUAAGCUUGGGUAUGCUUGAUACUGAUACGUCUCCAACCUAUCUAUAAUUUUUGAUUGUUCCAUGUUAUUAUAUUAUCUAUUUUGGAUGUUUAAUGGGCUUUAAUAUACUCUUUUAUAUUGUUUUUGGGACUAACCUAUUAACUGAAGGCCCAGUGCAAAUUGCUGUUUUUUUUGCCUAUUUCAGUGUUUCGCAGAAAAGGAAUAUCAAACGGAAUCCAAACGGAACAAAACCUUAGCGAGGAUCUUUCUUGGAUCAAAUGCAAUCCAGGAGACUUGGAGUGUAAGUCAGAGACGCAACGAGGCAGCCACGAGGCAGGAGGGCGCGCCCAGGGGGUAGGCGCGCCCCCACCAUCUUGGGCCCCUCGUAGCUCCACCGACCUACUUCUUUCGCCUAUAUAUACUCUUAUACCUUGAAAACAUCCAGGGGAGCCACGAAACCACUUUUCCACCGCCGCAACCUUCUGUACCAGUGAGAUCCCAUCUUGGGGCCUUUUCCGGCAGUCUGUCGGAGGGGGAUUCGAUCACGGAGGGCUUCUACACCAACACCAUAGCCUCUCCGAUGAUGUGUGAGUAGUUUACCACAGACCUUCGGGUCCAUAGUUAUUAGCUAGAUGGCUUCUUCUCUCUCUUUGGUUCUCAAUACAAAGUUAUUCUCGAUGUUCUCGGAGAUCUAUUCGAUGUAAUACUUUUUGCGGUGUGUUUGUCGAGAUCCGAUGAAUCGUGGGUUUAUGAUCAAGAUUAUCUAUGAACAAUAUUUGAUUCUUCUCUGAAUUCUUAUAUGCAUGAUUUGAUAUCUUUGCAAGUCUCUUCGAAUUAUCGGUUUAGUUUGGCCUACUAGAUUGAUCUUUCUUGCAAUGGGAGAAGUGCUUAGCUUUGGGUUCAAUCCAGUGACAGAAAGGGAACCGACACGUAUUGUAUUGUUUCCAUCGAGGAUAAAAAGAUGGGGUUUAUAUCAUAUUGCUUGAGUUUAUCCCUCUACAUCAUGUCAUCUUGCCUAAUGCGUUGCUCCGUUCUUAUGAACUUAAUACUCUAGAUGCAUGCUAGAUAGCAGUCGAUGUGUGGAGUAAUAGUAGUAGAUGCAGAAUCGUUUCGGUCUACUUGACACGGACGUGAUGCCUAUGUUCAUGAUCAUGCCUAGAUAUUCUCAUAACUAUGCGCUUUUUUAUCAAUUGCUCGGCUGUAAUUUGUUCACCCACCGUAAUAUAUGCUAUCAUGAGAGAAGCCACUAGUGAAACCUAUGGCCCCCGGGUCUAUUUUACAUCAUAUUAAGUUUCCCAUCAAUUAGCUAUUUAUGUCGCCGUUUAUUUUGCAAUCUUUACUUUCCAAUCUAUACAACAAAAAUACCAAAAAAAAA
rnacentral:lncRNA from 1 species